rnacentral:lncRNA from 1 species
UCCGUAGAAGAAGGGACAAAGUCCCCAGGCAUCAUAUAAGAGGUGUACCGUUCACGAGUGAACCUUUCUACCCGAAAGAAAGUAAGCAUCUUAUUAAAGAAGAACUGCUACAUAAACCUCUGAAACCGCGGACUUCGCUGCUCCUUCUGCAAGGGCAGCCACUGACUCAAAGAAGAGCUCAAAGAGUCCUCAUAGCUAGAUUCCGCUCCCUUUGCUCGAGCUGUCUCGCAAUAUUCUUUGCACCUCUCCCUCAAGGUAUCGAUUUCAUACCUCAAAUCACAAGGCAAAGCGCUACCUCUCUUUCUUAGUAUGUGGUCUCUUGAUUUCAUUCUUUUUCUCACUGGGUCCAUAUAAAGAGUUCAUGGCUAGGGCGAGUCAUAUUCUUUUCUCAAGAGAUGAGAACUAAAGAAAAAUAUUUCCCGACUUCCUUAACUCAAAUUUCAUUGAGCCUGGUUUAUUUCCUACUAAAAAGAUGAAAUUCAAUAUUCUUUUCACCCUCCGUUAGGCGCAUAAUAUGGAUUUCUCAAUCUUCUUUGAGCCCUCCGUUAGGCGCAAAGUUCGGUUAAUUACGGAAAGUCCUCCGGACUACUUCUGUUAAUUACGGAUGGUCCUACUUCCAUAUGGAUAGUCCUACGGAUAAAUCCUCCGGACCCUGGACCUUUCUUUGGCCCUGCGGACUCCGGACUCCGGACUGGAAGAUUUCCGCUUUCUUUUUCAAUAGGAGAGGAUCGGGCCCGCUAACCCUAUCAUCGGGGAAGGAGGAAUCGGGUAGCUGAUCGAUCGGAAGAAGUCUUUCUCUUGCAGCUUGACCAAAGGAUCUCUUAUCCAGUAUCCAGAGAUGUGUUGCCGAAGCAAGCGAGAACAAAGUAAGGAAGAGGAAGGAAUAAGGCUGGCUAGCUAGGUCCUAAUCUGAUUAAAGGCUAAGUUGAAUCAAUACCAGAAGUAGACUUAGCAGAAGUUUAUGUGGAAGUGGUUUGUGGAAGCUCUUUCUCUUUGGUAACUGAGAUACCUUCUUUCGUCUUUUAGUGGAAUGAAACUCAUCUGGAGCUUUGAUUUUAGGAGUAUUAAGACCGCUCCGAAGGACUACUAUUUUAGUGGAAUAAGACUCGUCGAUCAUUCUUUCGAUAAUUCUUUGAUUGGGAAUAUUAGUUAAGACUCGUCCGGAGCGCUCCAUAUUAAGCUACGGAGGCCCCAUAAGACAGGGAUAUUCUUUUCUUUGGAUAGUCCUUCGGACUGAUUAAUGGUCUCAUUGAUAAGGACAUAUAGAAUGAAGCGAAGGACUUCUUUAUCCAUUGAAUUUAGCCGACCUCAAUGAGUGAAAAGAAUUAUCUCAGCUCUUUAUUUCUAAAAAGUGGGCAGUCGCUUCGCUUCGCGCCUUGACUCCGGGGGUAGGUUUAGUAUAGUAGGUUUGGAAGGAAAGCCUAUGGUCGAAACCCCAACUCGUCUUAGUCUCGAAUUGACUCUGCCGGAUUAAGUUGCUGGAUUUCUUCUUUCAGUAUCGCCUUAAAUGAUUUAUGGGAUUAAGAUAAGAGGACAUGAUGUCCCCUCGAAAAGAAGGUUGAAUAGUGGCUCGACUGAGUUGUAGAAGGAGAGAGAUCGGGAUAAAAGGUUCAAAGAUUCCUUCUUGCACUCCUUAAGAGUGACGGCUUUUUUCUUUUCCUCUCUAUCUACUUUCAUCCUAUAUAUUAGCCGACUGAUUUAUGGAACUAAAUCUUUCUGGGAGUCCCAUAAAUAAAUAAAUAGGGAUAUAAAGAAGUCCUUCGGUCCUCAAUGAUUCUGGAGGGAUAGGCUUUCUUCCUUCCCCUAUUAGCCCUUUUUAGGUUCCUUAGGCUUUCCUACUUUCUUCAGUGGAUAGUCGGACUCCUCCGCUCCGCCAUAAGAAAAGCCCACUACGCUACGUAGUCUUAUCUUCUUCUUCUUCUUAUUCUACUAAAAUAUCCUAUUAUUAUACAAGAAUCAAACUCCUCCUUCUCCUCAACGAAAGUAUGAAAGGACUCAAAUUCUGAUCGCCAUUCUCUUCUUUGCUCUUCUCGCAAUAUUCUUUGCGCCUGAGAAAGACAGGUUCAAGUGCUCAUUAACGAGAAUGAAAGAAGCUAAAAAUUCAUCUGCUAGAUUUCAGACGGAGUUCAAUCCCAGAAUAUCUAAGAAAAGAAGAAAGGAGUGCAAACGAAAACUAAUGGAUUUCAUAGUCCUUCGGACGGACUACCGCACCUCAAUUCAUGAAAUAUUCUUUGUCAAUAUUCUUUUCACCUCCGGAGCCUCUCUUUUCUUUCUGUCUUCCCCGUCCUCCGGACUAUUCAACCUAUUCCCCGUGAGACUCAGAUUACUAAUUCUCUGUUUGAGACUGGAUCGCAUAUGGUCUGACUCAUUUUAUCGCAAGAUCGAAGACAAUAUCCAUUCUGCCCGCUCCCUUCUGAUUGAUCUCUUGACUGCUGAAAAUCUUCCUUUUCCCCGCUCCGUGGGCUACGCUAUGGGAAGAGUUAGUCCGAGACUUUCCAGUUGAGAUAUUCAAACCUAUCCUUGACUCGUACAGCUUCAUGAAAAUACAAUAUCUAGUACACAAUCACCUUUAUAUUGGCGUCGGCCUAGGCCAGUGAAAAGCCUAUGGUACGAGAGAAAAUGCUUUAGGAAGGGGGGGGGCCCGUGGAUCGGAGCGAAGCAGCUCACUAUAAGAGUUGGGCGCUACAGAGGUUAUGAAAUAACUCGACUGAAAGGAGAGGGGCGAAGAGACUCGACCGUAGGGAGAGGGGCUCCGGUAUCGGUGAAUAUGCUCUCCCGUGCAGGUUAGUUCCCGAGAGUCCGCCUAUAAAUGAACUUUGCUCCGUUUUAGAGUCCUUCGGUUAAUUACGGAUGGUCCUACUUCGGUUAAUUACGGAUGGUCCUACGGAUAAAUCCUCCGGACUACUUCCCUCCAUAUGGAUGGUCCUACGGAUAAAUCCUCCGGACUACGGAUAAAUCCUGCGGACUCCGGACUCCGGACUACUUCGGUUAAUUACGGAUGGUCCUACGGAUAAAUCACCUGGACCUUUCUUUGGCCCUGCGGACUCCGGACUCCGGACUACGGAUAAAUCCUGCGGACGUAGGACUCCGGACGGGUCAAAGAAUUUGAGAAGCUGCGACGGAAAGGAAAUAGUGGAUGGACGAGUCCUCCGGACCGGACGACUAUGAAGAAUAUUUGAAAAAGAAAGAAGAUUUGAGGUGCAAAGAAUAUUGCGGAAAGGAAUCUUCGACAAAUCUCAUUACUACUACUAAUAGAAGAAAAGCCUAAAAUAAGCACAUUUGCAUCCGUCCUCAGUCGCAAAGUUCAUUUCUAGAAGGCUCAAAGGAUAUUGAGCGAAAGGCGCCAUAAGACAGGGAUAUUCUUGGACUCAUUUCAUGGGGAAUUUGGGCAAGACGCCUCUAUCUGAGAGUCGAGCUACUUCAAUCCGUACGUGAUCCUACUUCUUUCAUCAAAUGAAUAGCCCGUAACCAGAAGACCAAGAGCUAUGGAUAAUGCGAGCGAGACGUAAAGAGAUCAUGACUCGAUUCCCAUCUUCUUGCUUUAAUGGGACUAGGGCUCAUUCCACUUAUUAUCUUACCUCCUUCUCAAAUCAAAUUCUUUGAGCAAAAUCAAGCUCCCCUAAUGGAUAGUCCUUCUUCGCAAAUUCUUUGCGCCUGUCUCGCAAUAUUCUUUGCUGCACCUUGCUGACUCAUGAAACUCAUAAUCCUAUCUACAGAGCAUAUGAGAUGAUAAGAAGAUCGGAAACUUCUCUUUCUUCUUCGGCAACGGAUAAUUCAACCUCCACUAACCGCUGAAUACCUCUGUAGCAUCCGAUCCGCGAGACCUCUUCUCCUGCCUGCCGGAUAGCUGCUUCUAACCGCGUAGUGGGCAGGGAAUGCCCACUCCUCCUCUUGUUGGAACCUUUAUUCCGACUAAUAAUUGUAUCUGAGUUCCGAUUCUUCUCUCUCUUUCUUCAAGUUCGGGAUCCGGAACGAUUGAUCGUACUUAUUCAACAGGUAAUUCCCUUUUUCUCCUGAUAAAGAAAGACCCCAUCAUUCCCUUUCCGGCUAGUCCUACUCACAGAAAGACUAUCAAAAACCUCCCUCCUCCGCCGAAAGAUGAGUCUGAUACCCGCAGCUUUCUUUCAUAUUCCUUCUAUGAAGUUGGUCGUAUUCGCCCCUGAUACAGAGAAUACCUGCCUCCAUAAUUACGUAACUAGUCCUAUCACUGAAAGAUCUCAUUUGACUGAUUCCCCGCUCCGUGGUAUCCGCUUGCCCUCGUAAACUCUGGACUGAUGAUCAUUCCUAUCCUACAGAGCUGAACUUUUGGAGUACGAAAGGAAUCCCUCCCAGGUUUCUGCUCGCCAGAAGACGAGAAAGACGAGACCAUGAGGCGAGAUGGUAACUACCUUUUAAGGAGUUCAGGCAGUUGAGAUCAGAAGCUGCUCGAUUCCCUUCCCCUCUCAAGAGUCCGUCCUCACUUUCCCUGCUUUGUUUGAAGGCGAAGUUCUCACCGCCUCAAUGAACAAGGGGUUUUCUAAUAGUCUUGUAAAUCAGAAAAAUCCUAUUAGUAGUUUAGUUGGAGGCAGCUAUCUCUCCCAAGCCUUGUGUAAUUCAAGCCGAAUAUACCGCCCCGUAAUACCGCGUUCAAGCUAAUAGUUUGCGUAGAAUUCUCGAUUAAUAUUCUAUUAGGAGAACUCUCUUCUCAUCUCUUGAGAAAAGAAUAUGACGAGACCUAGCCCUAGCCAUGAACUAUUUCUAUAGACCUAGUGAGAAAAGGAAUGAAAUGACUCGACUAAAGAAAGAGGAAGGAAUGCUCUUGCCUCUGAAUUCCGAAACCUUUCUGCUCUUGAAGUAGAGUUGAGGAUGCUGAUCGAUAGGGAAUGCGCUCGAUCCUCACCCCUCUCCUCUCGCCUGGUUCUCAAUUUCUUACGUAAAUACUUCCGCUGGACACAUUUCCAUAAGAGGUUGAAGAUUCCAUCUCUCACGAUCAGCCCACUACGCGGUAAGAGACUGAGAUACCUUCUUUCUAAAUCGGAAGUUUGAAGCGGGUCUCUCGGGGAGUCGUCGUUGAAAGGGAUGCUGCCUGCGGAAGUUGAAUCCAUUUCAGUUCCUCUACCUUCUUCGGAAGUUCUUGCUGAAGAAGUAUUUAGAUCGCCGCUCUGAGUUAUUAAUGAAAUUAAUUACUAGAAUACGACCCGGAAAGGUAGCGAUCGGAUUGACUCGGUGCGGGUAAGGUCUUGAGUCUUGAAGUGAGAGGAAAAGAGGAAAAGCUUACCGCGUAGUGGGUUGGACGCGCCUCAAGCUCAAACUAAGAAGAAAGAGUCUUUUUAGUCGGGAAUGAGAUGAGAAGGAAGUUAUCUUUGUAUGAGAUCGAUCAUAGGAUCGACCGGGAACAGGAAGACUACGAGGUCUCAGUUUGUUUUCUUAGUCUCAUAGGAAUUCUAUAAAGUAGAUAUUCCGGUAAGACCGCCAUAAAAGAUAGGGGGGAUUUAAUGAGUUGAAAGACGACCAGUGGGAGUCAUCAGACUUCCAACAAUCAGACUCAGAGGUGAGGCGCUCGACCUCUUUCAUUCUCGUAUUAUCUUAUCAUCUAUUAGUAAUAAGAAUCCCCUGCGAGCAUGCCUUCCUUUCGUACCGAUCGUCAUAGACAAAAGAUGGAUUGGGUCCUUAAAUAAAUACGAAGAAAGCAUGAAGUAAGCAAUUUCUUUUCUAGAGUUCUCAUUAUGUGAUAGAAUGAAAUGAGUGAGAUUUCUUUCCGGAAGUACGAAGAAAGCAUGAAUUAAGCAAUGAUAUAGGCCAGCUUAUCGUGCUUAUCUUCCUUCUAAGAGGAGCAUGAAAGUAAUAGCAAAGCUCAAAUACUUUGAUCCUCGAACCUCUUCUAUCUUCUACCGUAAUUCGCCAAUCUCGAUGAAAGAGCAGGUAACUACCCCCCCCUCUUUCUUUACGAUUUACGGGUACUUACUCGUGCACGGAAUCAAAGAAGAGGCAGGCGAAGCAUUUUUGAAAUGAGAUCAGCAAGGUGCAAAGAAUAUUGCGAGACCACUAAAUAGAAGACUUAGCCUCAUUCUUCGGCCUUUAUUUGCGUAAAGAUAGUAUUAAGCAUCGAUUGACAAAGAAAGUACUCCAGUACCCAUUGAAAGUUCAGAAGUCCAGCUCUUUGUCAAUACGAACCAACCCUAGCUUGCUUGCCUUCAACUAGAAACUAUUCUGAUUUAGCUUCCACCUUGAAAGACGGAAAAAAAAGAUAGCUAAAGCAAUUCCAUUCUCAGUCAAGUCUAAUCGUACGAAUCCAUAUUCACCUUUUCUUUGCCGCCUUGAUUUUGCAAUAUUCUUUCUCAAUCUUCUUUGAGCCUUAUAAUUGAACCAGAUCCCCAUUAUUAAGCUACGAAGGCCCCAUAAGACAGGGAUAUUGAUUUCAUGAGUUCAAUAUUCUUUGAACCUUAUUCUUAGGCGAAGGACUGAUUUAUCAAGCUUAACUGAACCUUGUUCUGCGCUCUUUAUUUCUUUUCAAAAAGUGGGCAGUCGCUUCGCGCCGCGUAGUGGGGAACUUCCGCGUAGUGCUUUCUGGAUCGAAAGGUUAUCAGCCGAAAGAGCGAAUUCGCACACUGCUGAAAGGCAUAUUUCAUUGCACCUCAAUUCAACUCAUCUGGAGCUUUGAUUUUAGUCUUUCCUUUUGAGUUUGGGAAUCUACUUUGUCCCGCGUAGUGCUUUCUUUAUUGUCGGGAUGAGGAAGUAGGAAGUGGUAUUUCUACGAAUGAAAUGUGUCUCGCAAAUGCAAACAAGGAUUUCCCAUCAUAAGAAAGUUCACGGAAAGCCCUUGCCCUUAUGACUUCAUAGGCUUCGCUUCGCGCCUUUAUCUUUUUCUUCCUUAUUUUUUUGAGGUCUGCUCUCGCUGUGGUUGAAACCCUUGUUUCAGUAGAUUGAGUUCUUGUCUCCUCCCCGGUGGCUGUUGAAACCAGCUAUUAGAAAGAAGAUAGUUCAUUAUAUCAUAAUAUAUUCCCGUGUAGUGGGAUCCGCGCCUCGGGGAAGUGACCAUACACUUGACCAUAAAGAAGGGCAUUAGAAAGAAAGCUAGAAAAGGAGGAAACUUCAGCAUUACUAGUAAGCCCACGUAGCGGAGUAGUCGAGUCUAAAAAGGGUAGAUUCAUUCAAGGCAUAUUUCAUUGCGCCUCGUCCUUCCGCGCUCCGCUCCUUUUUAGUGGACGCUACUUGAUUAUGGGGGGAUGAGACCCAACUAUAAGACUUCGUCAUAUUGAAUUUCACCUUGCCUCCAGUUCCUUGCCUCCGGGAGUAGGUGAUGAGGUUUCGGACUUCUCCUUUUGACUCCUUUUGAGCUCUUUCUUUAUUCCUUUGAUUUUAGUAGGUUCAAUUCAAUAUUCAUGAAUUCAGGCCUAUCCAUUAGAGAAUUUGACUUGUUUCAAAAACAAAGGCUCCAGAUGAGAGGUGCCAUAAGACAGGGAUAUUCUUGAGUCACUAAAGAGUAUUUUCUUGUAACAAAGGCUCAAAGAAUUUGAGGAUGGAUAGGAAAUCCUGAAAUCAGCCUAUCGUCAGGCCUUGGUGGGAAUAGCUGCAGCUAUUUCUUAAACAAGAACAGCCACUGACGAUUCAACUUCUGCAACUGCUACUGCCACAAGAACGGAUGCCUCUUCUUACAGUCGAUUCGACUAAUCCUCUCUUCGUGCCUAAUCCGAUACCUCCCUCUCCCGGGCAGCUGCUUCUCUCAAUUACUGUGACUGUCGAAAGACCGACUACGUCGAGCUCCCUCUUGCUAUGGGGAGAGCGCCUAUUCCAGUCCAGGAGAUCAUAGAGAGAAUAACCUCUUGGUCCAGCUACUAAUGAGUGCAGUGAACUACUCAUGAAAGAGAGAAGAUGGUGCUAUUCCCGCUACGUGGGGGUCGAGCGAGCUCAUACUCACUUCAUAGGCUUCGCUUUUGCCCUCGUUCCUCAACUGGGGGGAGGGGACCUCAUUCUUAGUCUUUUCCCUUGAACCCGACGAAAGAGGCUUUCUCCUAAGAAAUAAUCAGGGAUGGUGCAUCCUCAACUAAUGCCAAUGGGUCGAGGUCGAGCAUUCGCACCUCACCGAAAGGGCUACAGCUUCUACUCCAACAGCAACGUCUGCAACCGGAACAGCCACUCCAAUCAUUGAUAAGGAUCUUUGAACCUCUCGCAACUUCAGAAAGAGGAGCAAGAAAAGCAAGAGCUUACUCAUCAUCAUCAAAUUUCAUUGAUCCUCCGUCCCCCUUUCUUCUUUCAAAGAUUCCGAUUCAGUGAAUCAAAAGUACUUCUAUUCCGUUUGGGACCACUAUUCUCGCUACCGAAAGAACCCCGUAGACCUAUGAGUUCUAGCAGGAAGGAGGCGCGUCCGUCCCGAGUCCUAAGACUUUUGUCGAGCCGUUCCACUCAUCGGGUAAAUCAGGUCUCUGGCUGAAUAAUAUAGUUGUUGUUCGCGCUUCUUCUCGUAAAGAUGAAAGUGUACUCACCGAGUCAACUCCAACAAAGCCCGACCCUUUUUCAAAGAGUGACUUCGUUAUGACGGACAAAGAUACUCAACUAGGUAUGGACGAUCCGACCCAGCCGGAGGCUGAUUAUCUGACUUUAUCGUCUUCAGAUAUAAGAAGCUAAAUAGAGGUUUAUCAAGUCAAUAUUCUUUGAACCUUCGCAAUAUUCUUUGCGCCUUCGCUCAAUUCACAUCCAUAAAUAAAUAGGGGUUAGGAGCUUUCUGAUCCUUACUCUUUCUUUGCUUUCUCCUAGGCUUUCUUCUUUCUGGGAGUCUUCCUAUAUCUUUUUCUGAUAUAAGGAAUCAAACUCCGCUCUGCUUCUUUGCUUCCAAACCUCAAAAUCAGACGAAAGCACUUAAAGAUUGUACAGUUUAGCUUUGACUCUCAGACUCUUAUUCAUAGCCAUCCAGGAAAGAAAAGCAUGACUAGGGAUGUGCUUCUUACCCCAAAGAAGCUUGAACCAAGGGACAGUAUUACCAGGAAGAUGAAAGAGCUUCACUGUCUUAGCAACUGAAAACUGACCUCUGAGGCCAGAUAGUUCUAUCUUCAGUAACCUUGUCCAAAGUCACAUUACUAACAAUGUCUCUCCAAGCAUUAGACAGCAUCAAUGGCUACAAGAAGCCGAAAUGAUCAUCCUUCCAUACAGCAUUCAGCCUGCAUUUCUUGUUAACAUCAGCAUCUCUGCCGAAUACUGAGACAGAGGGUCAAAGAAUUUGAGAACUCGGAAGACUAAAGCUCAAGCGCGCACUAAGAAGAAAAAGGGUGAGGGCCGACGUUCUAAUGGAUAGGACUGAGGCGCAUCAAAAAAAGGGUUGAAGAUGACCUUGAUUUUUUGGACCCUUAUUUAUUGUUUAUUGAGGCGGUUCAAAUAUCGAGACCAGAGGAAGCAAAGAAGCUGCGAGAGGUUUCGGAAUCUCCGGCUCUUGUCCCAGUGACGUCUGAGGCAGUUGAGUAUUUAGCCGAUAUAGUUCUUUCUUCUCAAAUUCGCCUCUCCUUUCAGUCGAGCCUCAAUGCAAUAUUCUUUGCGCCUUUGAAUCUGCGAUAACAUUGAGAUUUCCCAUCACCGACUGGAAGUCGCUAUUUUCUUUCGUCUUGCUCUUCGAUAAUUCUUUGAGCCUCCUUCUACCUCUUUUACACGGAGCGGGUUGGGAAGGCCUCAAGCAUACCAUCGAAUGCCACCAGUCAACCGAAGGCUGCAAUAGGUCCGAUCGCGCCGGUGCCGAUUCAAUUAUUCACCUGGAGACAAGGCUAAGAACAUCCCGCCGAAUGUGAACAAUUCGAAGAAUGUUUAUGUGAAUGCCCUCAGGACGCAUCCUAUGGUAUGCUUUCUGGCCGCUUUACCUCGUAUUGCUAGCGGUCGUGGGUGGCCCUGCGUCGCUCGUCACGUCCGCUUGUAGUGGUCACACAGGCAGUGCCUUUUUCUAUCCUAAAAGAAGGGUAAACCGAGAAACCCGUAGGCUUUCUGUCUUUUCUUUUUGCCUAUUUUAAGUCAUCGACCGCCUUGAUUUAUGUUUUCUCGCUCGCUUUCUCUGCCCUUCGCUUCCUGAUACCGGAAGGGGUAAAGCGGAAGUUCACUCCUAAGACUUGUAAUCAUCUUGCGUGACGGAGAGCCUUCGUCCUUGUCUUGAAUAUCCAUCCUGGACCGGAUAUCCCCGUGCGUCUCAGCAUUAAGCCUAUGCCUUAAAAGAUCCGGCGGACCCCAUCCUAGGGCAAGGUGAAGCCAGUAUGCUUUUUCCAGCUUUUUGCCCCUUUCGUACUGAGACUGAGGCUUCCGUGAUCCUUUCCUCUCUCCGCACCGAGAUAUAUAUCCAAUCGGGCAAUUCUUCCUUGAGCGAAGGAGUCAGACCUCCUUCGGCCUUAGCCUUUUUUCGGCAUUUUGGCCGAAGUGCAAAGUUAGCGAGCGAGCUUCCCCCACUACGCGGGCAGUCGGAUGUGAACUGCUUGUUCAACGAGAAUACCAGAGUUAGAAGAAUUAACCUUCCCACGCAGCGGUGACGAUGCUGUAGGUUCUUAGUGUACUUAGAUUGCAUGGAUUUUUCUUCUUUCUAUAUUUUAGAUAUACUGCUUGGCUAGCUCAGAACGCUAACGCUAAUUUGGAGAAGAUUUUGCAGGUUUGUGAAACCUUUAAGUAAAAGUAAUUAUCCGACUUCAAGCCUCCGGCAACUCUUAGCUAACCCGAAGAGAAAAGGUAAUUCCCGCUCUCGCAAUAUUCUUUGCGCCUUUAUUUAUCCUUUCUUCUUUUCUUAGAUAAAUGCGCUUCGCUUCGCAAUAUUCUUUGCGCCUUUAUUUAUCCUUUCUUUAUCCGUCCGGAGUGCCAAAGAAAGGUCCAGGGUCCGGAGUCCGCAGGAUUCUUAUCCGGAGGACUAUCCAUAUGGAAGUAGUCCGGAGGAUUUAUCCGUAGGACCAUCCGUAAUUAACCGAAGCAGUCCGGAGUCCGGAGUCCGCAGUGCCAAAGAAAGGUCCAGGGUCCGGAGGAUUUAUCCGUAGGACUAUCCAUUAGAAGCAGGAUUUAUCCGGAGUCCGGAGGAUUUAUCCGUAGGACCAUCCGUAAUUAACCGAAGUAGUCCGGAGGAUUUAUCCGUAGGACCAUCCAUAUGGAGGGAAGGAGGACUAUCCAUAUUCAGGAGCGGAAUCAAGAAUAGACCCGUCAGUAUCCGGACCAUAAACUCAAACUAGAACUGAUCCAUGUGAAUUUCUGGGAUAGGCUUGAUUCUUUCAUUGCGUUUUCCCGGCUUUUUUGCUUCUAAAUAGGACUAAAUCAAAGAUUGAUAUUUAACGAAAAUUGUCUAAAAAUGACGGAUUUUUCAUGAUUUCUUGCUACUUUAUAGGCCCAAAACCUAGCAAAAUCUGGGAUUUCCCUCCGUCUUCAAUCUAGUAUUGAACUCCGUAAAAACAAGGUGAUUCAAUCAGAAUUAUUCUUUCAUUAUCGUUAAUGAGUGAAUUAUUCUUUCAUUCUCGUUAAUGAGCUUCUUUCUUUGCGCCUAACGUCUGCUUUAAAGGGAUCAUGACUUUCGCAUAUUGAAUUGCGCCUCCUCCUUCAGCAUAAUCUAUAAGAAGAUUUGCACCUAUCAUGACUCUUUCGCAAUAUUCUUUGCUCCUAACUACGGGGUCCAGACUCCCUGAUGGAUAGUCCUUCGGACCUGUCUUCUCGCCUUACUAUUUUUCUCAUUCUUCCCGUCCUCUCCUCCACUCUCAGUCGAGCCCAUGGAGAUGCGUAGAAGGAUGAAUUCAAUAUGAGAGAAGAAGAUUUUCGGUUCAUUUUCUGUCUGAACUUUUUUGAUUGCUUUCUUCUUUUUCUCGAGACUAAUUGUACGGAUUCUCAUCUAGAUUUCGUUAGUCUUUAGUUUCCCUAGUUUCUAGUCGGACUAAAAUGAAAAUAGUCCGAGAUCAUUCUUUGAGCCUCUUUCAUUGAUCUAUUUUGAUGCUUCCUUGCCAGCAUCUUUCUUUCUCCCAUGCUUUCCGUUGGUCAACAACCAACCACUGCUCUCUAUAGUUCUUCACUACUCGUACAGGAAGGAUUUCUGUCUGGAGGGAAUUUUCUUGAGAAAAAGAAAGAAUGCCUCAACUGGAUAAAUUGACUUAUUUCACACAAUUCUUCUGGUCAUGCCUUUUCUUCUUGACUUUCUAUAUUCCCAUAUGCAAUGAUGGAGAUGGAGUACUUGGGAUCAGUAGAAUUCUCAAACUACGGAACCAACUGCUUUCACACCGGGGGAAGAACAUACGGAGCAAGGACCCCAACAGUUUGGAAGAUCUUUUGAGAAAAGGUUUUAGCACCGGUGUAUCCUAUAUGUACUCUAGUUUCAAAGAAGUAUCCCAAUGGUGUAAGGCCGUCGACUUAUUGGGAAAAAGGAGGAAAAUCACUUUUCUCUCUUGUUUCGGAGAAAUAAGUGGCUCACGAGGUCUCGAAAGAAAUAUAUUCUAUUUGAUCUCGAAGUCCUCAUAUAGCACUUCUUCCAAUCCUGGAUGGGGGAUCGCUUGUAGGAAUGAAAUAAUGCUAAUCCAUGUUCUACACGGCCAAGGAAGCAUCGUUUUUUAAUCAAGGUCGUUCGGACAAAAUAGAAGUUGCGCUUUCUUGAUUCUUAGUAGAAAGCAUUACAAGAGAGAUCAAUAAGAGAAAAAGCGAAGGAGCAGAGCCAAGUUCGAACUAAUAGGAGCGGAGCCAAGUUCGGAACUAAUGGACGUAGUAGGCUCCCCAUAAAUCAGAGGUUAGGAGCCCCUGUUCAUUGACUUUAGAUAUUAUGUCUGAAAAUAUCCUCUUAUUCACUUUGAAUUUCAGCCUAUCCUUUUUAUUCAAUUCAAACCGCGGAGCUCCUAUUCUUUUCAAAGUAAUAGCCGCACUUUGCACCUCCCGCUCUUCAUUUGCAAAGAUGUCCUUAUCAAUGAGACGACUGAGGCUCAAAGAAGAUUUCGAAAAACAAGGCUCCAACUAACCGUCCGGAGGACUAUCCGUAUGAACCUAGCCUUCGGACCAGUCCGGAGGAUUUAUCCGUAGGACUCUAAAACGGAGGACUAUCCAUUAGAACCAUUAGAAUAGAUCAAAAGAUCGUCUUGACCCAGCCUCCGGCUUCUUAUUCCGCUAUCAAAGUAUUCCACUACUCAAAGUAUUCCACUAAGGAAAUGCGCUUCUCACGCAUAUUUCAUUGCGCCUCUUGAGCUCUCUUCUCUCUGUCUUCCUCUAUUUUCUUCUUAUUCUGAUUCUUCCGAUAAUAGAAAACCUUGAACUCUCUUUAAAGAGGCAGAAAGGUAACUGAAAGACUCAUAAGUGCAGCUGUCAAUAUUCUUUGAACCUUGUUCAUUCAGGCUAGGCUUUCCUCUGAAUUCAAACCUUAUAUUCCCUUUCUCGUUGUUCAUAACUAUUCUAUGUGAAUGAUCCCUUGUUCAUUGAGGCGGUCUUCUAUGUUUACAGGUUUGAAUAGAAAGAGUCAUCCCUUCCCACGUGUAAAGUUUCAUAAAUUAAUGCUGCCUCAACCAUAGGCUUUUCUCAAUUCUAUGUGGCCGCCGGGCGGCGCAGAACGCACUAAUCCGCGACCAACAAGUUUUCCGAAACCAAACUGAAGAGAAUUGUUACUUUCCAAAAAUGCUUGCUGAAAAUCAUAGGCUUUCUCCUUUCAGUUUCUCGUAUUCAGUCUCAGGAUAGGCUUUCUUCAGUAUUUAUUAGGUUCUUGGGAGAAUCCUCGUCCAAGACCCCACGGAGCGGGAGAAUCCUUCGUCUGAAAAAGAAGAGAGCCUACUAAAAUAAAACAGAAGACGUAGAAGUCUGCAAUUGAGAUUCAUUCAAGAAGACGGAGCGGAAUAAAGAGAAGGUAAAGUCAGAAAAAGUGAAAGGAAUAGGAAAGCAGUUAAAGGAAGUUCAAGGCUCCCCGGUUUUCAAAUAUGAUGAACUCAAUUCAUUCAGCCUUAACUCGCAUAUUUCAUUGCGCCUCAUCUAGAGCUUUUGUUUUUGUAGUCGCAAUAAGACAGGUCCGAAGGACAGACGGGUUAAUAUGGAUAGUCAUCUGGUCCCUUUUAUUUUGUUCUUUGCUCCUAACGUUCCCUCAAAUUCUUUGAGCCGUCCGGAGGACCAUCAAAGAAAGGUCCAGGUGAUUUAUCCGUAGGACUAUCCAUUAGAAGUAGGACCAUCCGUAAUUAACCGAAGUAGGACUAUCCAUUUUCAGUCGGACUAUCCAUAUGGAAGGAGGACUUUCCGUAAUUAACCGAACAAAGCUCCUAACUACUAAUGGAAAGGACUGAGGACGUCCGAAGGACUCUAAAGCGGACGGGGGGGAUUUCCGCUUAAAAAGUCUUAUUCCAAUAAUAUCCGCGGGGGUAGAUUCAAUCUUCUUUUCACCUCCGUCUCAUUCCCUAAUGGAUAGUCCUUCGGACCUGUCUUAUGGCGCAGUUCUUCCCUCGCAAUAUUGGGCCUCAGUAGCUUAAUAUUCAGGGGUGGAAAUCUUGUUGAAGACGGAGGUUCAUAUGGAUAGUCCUUCGGACCAGUCUUAUGGCGCAUCUGGACCCCUUAUAAUUGGGCCAUAGAUCUUUGCACCUUGUUUUUCUUCUUUGCGCCUAACGGAGGGGAGGGGAUAGACUUUUGACUUUUUCUUCCUGAUCAUCGACCGCCUUUUUUUUGAUUCUUUUCACCUUGUUCAUUGAUUGCGCUUGCACGAGUAUUCUCAAUAUUCUUUGAACCUCUCCUCUGUCUAUUAGAAUAGCGAAUAGUCCCCAGAUCCAAGGCGAAGGACUAGUCUGAAAUCAACCAUAUUAACCUGUGGAAUCUUUGAUACAUCCACAUUGUUCAAAGAAAGCCUAUCCUCCGUCCUUUUUCAAUAUUCUUCGAUCAUUCUUUUUCAAUAUUCUUUCUCAACAAUAUCCCCCACGGUGCGGUAGUCCGUCCGAAGGACUAUUCAAUCCAUUAGUUUUCGCUUGCACUCCUUUCUUCUUUUCCGCAAUAUUCUUUGCUCCGAUCAUUCAUAGAUUAUGCUGAAGGAGGUCCUCCGGACUAUCCAUAUUAGUGACCGCGGAAGAAAAACAAAGGUCUAUAUGAACUAGUUAGGCGAAGGACAGACAGGUUAAUAAAUAUGGAUAGUCCUUCGGACCUGUGGAAUGUAAAAGAAAGCCUAUCCGUCUCAUUGAUAUUGAUAAGGAACCCUCCUCUUGAGUCUGAAAUCUACCCCUAUUUAUUUAUGGAUUUCAUUGAAGGCGAAGGCGCAAUGAAAUAUGCGUUGACGAGCGCAAAGAACUAAAAAGAAAGGUCCAGAUGACUAUCCAUUAGGGAAAUUAAGGAGCAAAGAUCAUGGCCCACUCCUCCUUCAGCAUAAUCUACGAAGCGCAUUUAUCUAAGAAAAGAAGAAAGGCUCUUUGAAUAUUGAGAAUAUUGCUGGAAGAUUUGCACUGGGGGAUAUUGAUUUGAGAGAAAGAUUAGACAUUGAGCCUCCUUCUACGUCUUUUAGAUAAAAAAGAGAUUUUUCUUCCAUAAGGAUGAAAACGAGUCCUCCCCUUGUUCAUUGAGGUCCGCUCCCUCCUUUUGAGCUUUCUUCUUUAUUAUCCCGCUCCGUCUUCAGCUCCGUGGGCUUCCUUUCAUAUUCAACCGCUACGUGGGAGAUAGAAGAAAAUCAAUGAAGAAGUCAAUGCCCACUACGCGGGGAAGGAGACAAGACUACGUAGCUACUUUCAGUGGAUAGGUCGUCCGGAGGACUUGUUUUUAUCCAUCUGAGGAACUCAAACUUAUGGCCUCCGUAGUCCGCUCCCUCCUUUAUUUUCAAGGUUUCAUAUGAAAGGUUUGAAGUUAGAAGUGAAAGGAAGAAAAAGUCAAUGGAAGUCCUCCGUCUCUCUUCUUUAUGGUCCGGAGCCUUCGAUCAUUCUUUGAGCCUCCAGACCUACUAGAGAAAGCCCCACUCCGCGGAAGAAUCCAGAAAGCUAAGCUUGAUAAAGUCCUCCGCCUAAUUCAAUGGAUCUAAUGGACGCAAUAUUCUUUGCACCUGGACCCAGCCUCCAGCUUCUUAUUCGACGUUAGGAGUAUUAAGACCGAAGGACAGACGGGUCCUCCGGACCUGUCUGUCCUUCUAUAUAUUCUUUGCACCGCUCCGUGGGUCCUUUCCAUUAGUAGUUAGGAGUCUUAAGACCUCAGUCCUAUCCAUAUUAACCCGCGCUAAGUUCCAUUAAGAGAAAAUUCUUUGCUCUCUGCGACUCAAAGUAAUAGUAUUCAACAAUAUCCCUGUCUUAUGGCGCCUCGCAUAAAUACGGCUUCGAUCAUUCUUUGAGCCUCCGUCGCAAGUCAAAUUCUCUAAUGGAUAGGCCUUCUCCUUCGCCUAUAAAUUCCCAUAUUAAGCUACGAAAUAAAGAAAGCACUACGCGGGAAGAACUGAUCAAUGAAAUUUGAUUGAUUGAAUUUCAUCAUAUCAUAUUUGAAAAAGAAAGAAUAUUGAGGUGCAAAGAAUAUAUAGAAGGCGCAAAGAUCUAAAAAGAAAGGUCCAGAUGACUAUCCAUAUUAACCCAGAGAAAGUUCAGUCAGUUUCAGUGGAAUAAAGGGAAAGCCUAUCCAACAACAUUUCAGUGGAAUAGGAGAAAGGAAGUCCUCCGCUCCGUUGGAGUUGAAUUGGUCCUACGGGAAGAAAAUCAAUGAAGAAGUCAAUGCCCACUACGCGGGGUUAAAGUGAAAGAGGAAAGCCACUAAAAACCUCAAAAUAAUACGGAAAGCCUAGCCUUCUACGGCCUCCAAACAAAAAAAGCUUUACUAGACUCAAAUUCUUUGAGCCUCCGGAGCCUCAAAAAUAUAGCUUAAAGGAAGAGGUGCAAAGAAUAUUGCGUGAUUGAUGCCUCCGUCUCUCUGAUUUAUGGUUAUGGUUCUCCUGAACCUACUCCCUACGGCAAGGCAGAAGACUGCCAGAAAGAAGAAAGCCUAGGAGAAGACAACUCCCAGAAAGUUUGAAAGUGGAAUCAAAUAACUAAGAACGAAGAUUUGUUGGGAAGGAAAGCCGUCAUAAGUACUUUCGUCUUAUUUUUAGUCCUCUUUCAUUGAUCUAUUUUGAUGCCAAGAAGAAACUUCAGGAUUACUAUCAAUGAACAAGGGAAGCACUACGCGGAAGUUUCAGUUCCUCAGUCGGAAUAUGGACCUCGCAUAUUGAAUUGCGCCUUCUCUCCUUUCAGUCGAGCCCUCAGUCCUAUCCAUUAGACUGCACCUCGCAAUAUUCUUUGCGCCUGCGCCUGGACCUUUCUUUGACUAGAAACUGAAAGUAGGCUUUCUUCUAAUAGUAGAAUAAGAGGAUAUUUUCAGAGAAGAGAUAAUCAAGAUAAAUAGCUAAGGAUAUUCUUUCUUCCCGUGUAGUGGGCUUACGGAGUGGGUCGCAAAGUGAAUUUCUAGGCGAAGGCUGAAUGAAUUGAGUUGCGGCUAUUACUUUAUUUGGAGCGAAGGUGCAAAGAAUAUUGCGUGGAUGGAUAGGUGCAAAGAAUAUUGCGAGGCUCAAAGAAUCCCACGGAGCGGGAUAGUCCUCCGGACUGUUAAGGCUCAAUGCAAUAUGAGUGAUUCCUAUUCCCGCCUUCUACGCCAUAAAUCAGUCGGAAUAUAGAGGGCUCUAUCCAAGGAAAGCCUAGGGCUCGGUCAAAGCAACGAGAUCUUUUUCUAGUUAGACUUCUAUCAAUGCAAUGAAAGAACCAUCCCUUCCUAUUUUUGAGUCCUGUCAGAUAGAAAGAAAAUGAGACCCCAAAGAGCCCUUCUUUACCACUUUAGCGGGUGGGGGUGAAGGGGGGGUUUACAUACAACCGAGGCAAAGUGGUUUAUGAUUGAAUCUCAGAGGCAUUCUUAUCAUUUGGUAGAUCCAAGUCCAUGGCCUAUUUCGGGUUCACUCGGAGCUUUGGCAACCACCGUAGGAGGUGUGAUGUACAUGCACUCAUUUCAAGGGGGUGCAAGACUUCUCAGUUUGGGCCUCAUAUUUCUCCUAUAUACCAUGUUCGUAUGGUGGCGCGAUGUUCUACGUGAAUCCACGUUGGAAGGACAUCAUACCAAAGUCGUACAAUUAGGACUUCGAUAUGGUUUUAUUCUCUUUAUCGUAUCGGAGGUUAUGUUCCUUUUUGCUUUUUUUCGGGCUUCUUCUCAUUCUUCUUUGGCACCUACGGUAGAGAUCGGAGGUAUUUGGCCCCCAAAAGGGAUUGGGGUUUUAGAUCCUCGGGAAAUCCCUUUUCUUAAUACCCCUAUUCUCCUUUCAUCCGGAGCAGCCGUAACUUGGGCUCAUCAUGCUAUACUCGCGGGGAAGGAAAAACGAGCUGUUUACGCUUUAGUAGCUACCGUUUCACUGGCUCUAGUAUUCACAGGCUUUCAAGGAAUGGAAUAUUAUCAAGCACCCUUCACUAUUUCGGAUAGUAUUUAUGGUUCUACCUUUUUCUUAGCAACUGGCUUUCAUGGUUUUCAUGUGAUUAUAGGUACUCUUUUCUUGAUCGUAUGUGGUAUUCGCCAAUAUCUUGGUCAUCUGACCAAGGAGCAUCACGUUGGCUUUGAAGCAGCUGCAUGGUACUGGCAUUUUGUAGACGUGGUUCGGUUAUUCCUAUUUGUCUCUAUCUAUUGGUGGGGAGGUAUAUGAAAGAACGAAAGAGUGGAUUGAGGAAUUCAAGCUCGAAGACAAAGAGAACCGGGCUUUUCCAAAGAAUUACAGCAGCUUUCCCACUCCCUCUCAUUAUUAUAUACCACAAGGUCUCUUCCACUUUCCUACCAAAUCUCUCUUUAUUCUGGCACAUAAAUUCAGGGAUCGAAGAGAUUAUGGCAGAUCAUGUUCACCAAGAAAUGACCCGAAAUUGGAUCUUGGUCUAUUUGAGAUUCUUCCUUUUCAUCUCCAUCAAAGAUCUUUUCUUGUCUCUCAUUUCUUUUCCGAAUCAAUCGAAGAACCUAAUGGACUCAUCCUUGCCUGCUAUGAAAGAUAUCGGCCUUGCGGAAGGAAGGAAGUGAAUUUUGAGUUUCAGUUUUGUGUAUAAAGGUUUGAAACUCGAUCUCCCUCCCCUGAUUUAUGGAUGUUCCUACCAAGAACAUCGAUCAGUCUAGGCUUUCCUCUUUAUAGUACUCCGAAGGCUCCGUCGGACCCCUUAUUCAUUUCCUCCUAUCGAGCCUUUGUCCUCUUAUUCCUUGAAUCUGAUCUUCCUUAUUCAUUCGUCUUCAUAUUCUGGAGCUAAGACCCUUCCAAUGCUCCCUUUCGCCAUGCAUAAACUGCACCGCUCUAAGAAUUUCUCUAAAUAGAGAACGGAUACGCCCAUAAGGAAUGCUCAUUGCCCAAAAGACCUUUUCGACAUCAAAAUGUAAUGUAAUGAGAGUGUGGAUUCUCAAUUGUAACCUCCCAUUGCUCGAGAUCCGAUAGCAUGCAGCAACUAGUUGUAAGAAAGAGGGGGGAGUAUCAAGAGAUAUUUCAAGUGUGCAGUGAGGAGUAAUAGGUAGCCAUACUUAACUCGGCCCAAGCAAUGCCCAUCCCAUGCCUUUCUUGGUUGGACCAACCCAACCGGCGAUUUCCGUCUUCCUUCAUUGGGAGAGCAAGAACAAGUCUCUCUUUUUUUGGGGGGGGGAGCAGAGCAGUCAAAGAAUAAACCAAAGAAAAUGAUUGUUCUCAAAUGGCUAUUCCUCACAAUUGCUCCUUGUGAUGCAGCGGAACCAUGGCAAUUAGGAUCUCAAGACGCAGCAACACCUAUGAUGCAAGGAAUAAUAGACUUACAUCACGAUAUCUUUUUCUUCCUCAUUCUGAUUUUUGUUUUCGUAUCACGGAUCUUGGUUCGCGCUUUAUGGCAUUUCCACUAUUCUCAAAAGAAAAUACCGCAAAGGAUUGUUCAUGGAACUACUAUCGAGAUUCUUUGGACCAUUUUUCCUAGUAUCAUUCCGAUGUUCAUUGCUAUACCAUCCUUUGCUCUCUUAUACUCAAUGGACGAGGUAGUAGUAGAUCCAGCCAUGACUAUCAAAGCUAUUGGACAUCAAUGGUAUCGGACUUAUGAGUAUUCUGACUAUAACAGUUCCGAUGAACAGUCACUCACUUUUGACAGUUAUACGAUUCCAGAAGAUGAUCUAGAAUUGGGUCAAUCACGUUUAUUAGAAGUGGACAAUAGAGUGGUUCUACCAGCCAAAACUCAUCUACGUAUUAUUGUAACACCUGCUGAUGUACCUCAUAGUUGGGCUGUACCUUCCUCAGGUGUCAAAUGUGAUGCUGUACCUGGUCGUUUAAAUCAGAUCUCCAUUUUGGUACAACGAGAAGGAGUUUACUAUGGUCAGUGCAGUGAGAUUUGUGGAACUAAUCAUGCCUUUACGCCUAUCGUCGUAGAAGCAGUUCCUAGGAAAGAUUAUGGUUCUCGGGUAUCCAAUCAAUUAAUCCCUCAAAGCGGGGAAGCUUAAGUGGAAAUGAAAGACAUAAUAUCUCAGUGAGGGAAAAGGAGGGAGACCACUCAAUUUCAGGCUGAACUCGCUCGCUCUAACGCUUCUUUAGUAGACAAGGAGUUCCGUGCAUAAGCCCCUUUAGAGAGAGGGGGGAGUCCUACACGAACUCGUAAGUCAAGUACUAGACGAGCCUUGUCUACGAAGCAGAGCGCCCUCGUCUUGCUUUUGGCGAAGCUUAACGAACUAGAUAAUAGGCAUUUUUUUAUGGUAGGAAGACUACUUUUUAGGCCGACCACAAUACAAGUCAUGAGCGAUAGCGAAGCCAAGCCGUAUAAAGGCGAGCAGCCCUUAUAGCAAUAGCAAACGGCCUACUUAUAGCCCGCCCGCCCUCGCCUAUUUUUUGGACGCUAUCAGUCCGAAGGACUUAUCCAUAUUAACCUGACUCACCGAAGGCGCAAAGAAUAUUGCGAGACGAAGGACUCGGUAAAAUCGCAAUAUUCUUUGUCAAUCAAAUUCUUUGAUCCUUGCGACUGAGUAGGCGAGUGUCCAGGUGGUCAAAGCCCUCAAUAAUAAGGGAUAGCUCUGACUUUGAAAACCACUUUUCACCUUGCUCCCCUAUCCUUCUCCUCCGGAGGGGUCUUACAAGCUCAUAAAAUGGCAAUUCUUCACCGCCUCAAUGAAUCCACAGGUCGCAAUAUUCUUUGCGCCGCUCCGUGGGCAAUGAUCUUUGCUCCGGUCAAAAUCAAUAUAUAUGAUUCAUAGUCAAGAGGUGCAAAGUUCGGUUAAUUACGGAAAGUCCUCCGGACUCCUUCGGUUAAUUACGGAUAGUCCUACUUCUGUUAAUUACGGAUGGUCCUACUUCUAAUGGAUAGUCCUACUUCUAAUGGAUAGUCCUCCGGAUAAAUCCUGCGGACGUAGGACUCCGGACGUAGGAUAAAUCCUGCGGACGUAGGACGUAGGACUACUUCCUUCCAUAUGGAUGGUCCUACGGAUAAAUCACCUGGACCUUUCUUUGGCCCUGCGGACGUAGGACUGCGGACUGCGGACUCCGGACCCUGGACCUUUCUUUGAUGGUCCGAAGGCGCAAUUCAAUAUGCGAGUACGCGGGAAUGAAUUCUAUUACUUUCUUUUCAUUGAUAGAUAUGUGUACCACACCGAAGAAGCAAGAUGCCGAUAUGCUUGAUGUACCAAUCAAGCCCAGGAAGGAGGAGCAAAGAAUAUUGCGAGGCGAAGGACCACCAUGCCGAGAUUCGCGGCAAAGAGAGCGAUCAAUGAAUAAGGAUAGGGGAGGCCCUAACCGAGAAAGGAUCCACGGCGGGGAAACCAGAGUCAGCGAGAAAGAAUGAAUAAGUCACAAUCUACCUAGGAAAGAUAACAAGGACAUCGAGAGAGCUAUCUAAUGAAACCAUUUCUCUCUUCACUCCGCUAUGCUUUGUUCACUCUCUUCGUUUAAGCGAGUCAACUUCUAUAAAUCACUACUGAUAGUAGAUUCAGUGCUACUUGUCGAACUCUCAACAUAUGUCUAUCAAAUUUCUUUGUGUUCAGUGUACCGCUAUCAAUUCUUUUCCUGUCCCGUACCGCUACGCUACAACGUAGUCAACUAGAUUUGAGAACAGCGCCUGAACUGAACUACUACUGGCUUAGCUGCCUAGCUACUAAUAACUUGGCACCCGUCCUGCCAAUAUAGUAUAAAGAGUAGUGGUAGGAUUCCACUCAGGGCACACUUGUUAGCUACAGUUCCCAUCUGUCUUGUAAAGAACUAGAACUGCGCCCGCAGUUACGGGACUAGCUCCCCUGGCCAAACUCUUGCUCCUCAGAUUCACAGACUGAAGGUGCAAAGAAUAUUGCGUUGCGUUAGCUACUUACUUCUAUUAGAGUCAGACAAGGCCUUGACUCUCUGCCUUCCUAUAUCAUACUUGGGAACUACUAGAUCUAAGUCCGAAAUAUCGACCUUGGUUCAACUCCUAGCUCGAAAGGCUGCCAACUCCUUACUGAUAUUGUUUGGGGUUAGGGUAGUUUACUUGCAGGCUGAUAAGUCAGGUAGCGAAGCCUAAGAUUAGAUGACUAGUUUGUUUCACUUCAGUUCCCCGCCGUCGUCCCCUAUCUUAAAGCAUGGAAAGGUAUCCAGAAAGCACAGUAACAGCUAUGAGAUAGGCGGCCCUCUCACCUAAUACCCGCUACUAAGGAUUGAAAGUAGCACAAUCGGCUAUAGAACUCCAGAUCUACGAAUAGCCGCGGGCAAGCACCAAAGAGAGGCUAGCUUCCACCUUUCUUAACAGCAAGGCGCGAAAGCCUGAGCCUUUCCUAUAGCUUCUACUUAGACUUAGCAACCCAAAUAAAGGUUUUGAUUCCUUAGCUGUCGAGCUACUCAAGCUAGUAAGCUAGUAUACACGCAUUUGCCCGAUUGCUUUAAGAGAAGCUUGACCUCCACCUGUCCUGUCCAAAACUAUGGAACUCAUCUUCAAAGUAGAUUUUCUAGAUCAGAACGUUCACUCUGAGAAUAGGGGUAUAAAAGUGAACCACCUAGAAUCGAUCCAUGACCGCUAAACAAAAGGAGUCCUUUACCACUAGGCAACCGUCUUUACCCGCCUCAACCGAUCGAGGCUCGGACAUGCCAACAGCCAAUACUGACUCCUUUCCCUGGGACAGCUAAAAAAAACUAAUACGGCUCGGUAAUAGGUUUCAUAGUCAUCUGGACCAUUAACACUUUUUAUUGGACUGACGAAAUUCACAGCAGAUAGACAGAAGUUAUGACAACCACAGCCACAAGCCUUCUUUCGUCAAGGCUUUUGAGGCUCCUCAGGCUUUCAAGCGAAUAGACUUGGAGGGCCGAACCUGGCCUCUUUUCCUAAGUCGAAGUGAGAAAGGUUCUAUAGAGAGAUCGCCGAAUUCACCUUCUGAAUGGAGAUGAAAAAGGAAAGGAAACAAUUCCCCUUGCGUUGAGGAUAGAUCUGCUCUUACGCUUGCUUUCGUAGACCUACUGCUAAUAGGAGAAGCGGGAUAAGUAGGACAGGGAGAUGUAGGGCACCGUCCACUGAUAGAGUUGCUUGAGCUCUUGGAGCUAGUAUGAGCAUCUUCAUCUUGCUAGCGAGCCAGUCCAGGCUGAGAAAUUUGGGCCCCCACUCCCGUCCCGGGGCGUUAAGGCUCAUCGCUAUAAGGAAGAACUUUCCAAUCAAGGUUCAAAGAAUAGCUCCGUCUUCCUUAACUCGAUAGAGAUGGCCUGCUUUAUUUGAACUUCCUACUAUAUAAGGCAUCCCCCCAGACCUAAAUGGCUAUACCUAUAUCCGACCUUCUAACCACUGAAAGUAGCGGUCCGAAGCCUGAAUUAUCUCAGAUUUUCGGUUCAUCUUUAACGCCACUUUUCUAAGCUCCGAAGGAGGAGUCCUCACCCAUUUAUUUCGGAAGAAAAGAAAGUUCAAGUGUAGGCUUUCUCCAAACCUAAAAACGGCUAAUAGAUAAGACGACUUUCGCCUAUUUUUUGGUCCUCGAUAAUUCUUUCUUUUCAAAUAUGAUUCAUAGUGAAAUAGUGGUCCUAAGCCCACGGAGCGGGAAGAAAGAAUAUCCUUAGUAGUCGCAAAGUUCAUUUCUAGGCGAAGGAGAAGGCCUAUCCAUUAGAGAAUUUGACUUGCGACGGAGGCGCAAUGAAAUAUGCGUUGACAAGACUGCCCACUCCGUUUUAGAGUCCUUCCUUCCAUAUGGAUGGUCCUACUUCGGUUAAUUACGGAUGGUCCUACGGAUAAAUCCUCCGGACUACUUCCCUCCAUAUGGAUGGUCCUACUUCCAUAUGGAUAGUCCUACGGAUAAGAAUCCUCCGGACUCCGGACUACGGAUAAAUCCUGCGGACUCCGGACCCUGGACCUUUCUUUGGCACUGCGGACUCCGGACCCUGGACCUUUCUUUGAUGGUGCAAAGAAUAUUGCGAAGGCGCAAUUCAAUAUGCGAGGUCCAUAUUCCGACUGAGGAACUUGAACUGGCAUCAAAAUAGAUCAAUGAAUGAGUAGGCCUCAUUGACUUCUUCAUUGAUUUUCUUCCCGGUCAUACCUCGGCCUCUUUACCCGGAGUUUCACUAAGGCAUAUACCCCCUCGGAGCAGUGGGGAACUUUAUAGGCGUCUUAGCAUCAAAAGCAUCUUUUUCAAGUCAAUUACAUCGACCGUCAAGCAGAGGUACUCUUAGUUCAGAGAGUCGACUUGGCAUGCUUGAAGUUCAGUUACUCGCCUCUAAAGAUCUUCCGAAGAAAGUUUGAUUGCCCACCAUUUCUGAAACCCCCUCUUCUCGGGCCAAUAGUUCUUUCUGAGAAUUAGACCAAUUUACAUGAGUUUAGAUGCCGCCUAUAAAAAAAGGUAAGAGCCUUGACUCUUUCCACAGCCAGAAAGCCCAAGCCUUUCUCAGCCGCUUAGCGCUGUGACAAAGACAGAUGUGAAAAUCGAAGACUGAGACUGGAUCCCUAAAGACCUCAAUCAAUAGCGUCCGUGAAGUGAGUGAUCUUCGGUCUAGCCCCUUCUCUGAAUGAAUAGGUUAUCGAUCCUGAACUUCAUCGGUCAAGUCGAUUUUAAUUAAGAGAGAGUCGGCAUCAUUACUUUUUCCGUGAGAAGAUCAGUCUUUAUGUUAUGAUCUAUUCUCGCCCUUAAUAAGGGAACUAACUCGUACUUGCCUUCAACGAUUACAGUUUCUUUGUCAGGUGCUCUAGUGUACCGAAGAGGUGGAGUCUUCCCAUCAUGUCUUUGAGUAUAAGAGUCCCACUCCGCGGUGAUCAUCACUACUCUUUUCAAGCAAGAAGAUAAAGGUAGAAAUCCGACCGCCUUUCAAUGACGGAAUAAAGAGAAGGCGAUACCUACUACAUGAUCAAUGCGAGAAGGCCCAGUCGGAGAGGUCGUCAUCCUAUUCCUAUCUACAUUGGUCGUAUUCGUCCAGUGAAAGAGGGAAUUCCCUAUCUUAUCUGGGAAGGGAAAAAGCAAGUCUGAUCCCAGCCAGCAAGGCAUCCUUAUCUUGGGAGGACUCUCUUAUGGAACUGAAAGUUGCAGACGGAGGCGCAAAGAAUAGAAUAUUGCGGGAACUGAAACUUGGCAUCAAAAUAGAUCAAUGAAUGAGUCUUUCUCUUUCUGGGAGUCUUCCUCUUCCUCUUUACCUUUGCCUUUUUCUUCCUCUCCUUUAGCUUCCCUUCUAGCCAAAUAGUAGGUUUUUAUGCCUGAUGAUUGAAAAGACUGAAAUUCACAUCCAUAAAUAAAUAGGGAGCUUGACUCUGUUUCCGAAGAGUCUGCGAUAGCGAAAGGACUUAAUAGGCGAGAUGAAACCCACGGAGCGGAGACUGAGUUGUAGCAGUUGAGUCUUAAUAGGUAGGAGUGCAAGGCUGAAUCUAAUUUCACUCAAAGAAAGAAGGCAGAUUCAGAGAAAAAGGAAGAAUCAGUCCUCAUUCUAUGUGCCCGUAGUGAGAAAGGGAAGAAGGAGAGGAGCGAAAGCGGCUCGACUGUAAGGAGAGGAGAGGCAUCAAAAUGCAAUUCCCGACCGAACUUUCUCGUAGCAAUCUAAGUUGGCUCCCGGAAAUCCAACCUUUCUAUAAUCUCUGACAUGUUCGUAUCUUAGUUGGCGAUAUAAGGACAAGUCCACCCCCUUAUAGGAUUAGGGCUUUGUGAAGGUGCGGGUUUUCACUAUUCCCAACGGCCUUAAACAGGCUUUAUUGCGGCCUGCUCUGGUCUAUGGAAGAAGCUCAUCGGGACUUUAGAUCUGCCAUUUUUGAGUUAGGCGGAGUAGAAAACUUGCUUUUUGAUUCUAUUAUGAGCAAUGGCCUGCUUUCUUUCUGGUCUUGUGCCAGUUGAUGUGGCAGGGACGAAGCGAAGUGGAAAAGUAAUGGGCUAAUAGAAGGGAAGGUACGGUUAGGGACGGGACAGAUGGAAGCUGAGGCAGAUAUUGCAUCCUUUGCUUUGCCUUCUUUAAGAAUUCGUAGAAGCCUGUCAUCGGUAAAUCCCUCUUCCAUAGCAUCUUCAUUCUCGACGUCUUCUUUGGUAAAGAAAGGGGAUGUUUACCCAGGCGCCGUAGUCUUGCCUAAGAAUAUCGCUCUGUUCACUCCCAGCUGAAAUUCAAGCCAUCUUCAUGAAAAUGAAAAGAGACAGAGUUCUCAAGAAGCUCUCCCUUUCAUUCCAAAGCUCCGGUCAUGGAAAAAAAAGCUGUCAGUAGCCGGUUUAUCUUAAUAAAAACCGAUAGCGUACAAGUUCAAAGAGAGAGACCUCGAAAAAAGAAGAACUAAAGUAAAGGAGGCGCAAUUCAAUAUGCGUUGACAAGGCUCCUUUUUCCUUUUCUGCUCUCAUUUCAUCAAGUUCUACUUGGGGGGUUUUAUGGAUUUUCUUCGAAUUGCUGUCUUGCAGAAGACGCUAAGGGCUUAUGACUUGCUGCUUAAGGAGCUAAGUUUCCUAAAUAUGAAAGAUGAUGAGUCUAAGCUCCAUAAAAGAGGUAGGUUUGUCUAGCCCGCACCUUGCCCCUCGGCUUUCAAGGAUUAGAUAGAGGUGAUAAUAUCUCGACCCACGUAGCGGUGUAGAAGGAGAGGCUCAAUGCAAUAUGAGUUGCGAGACAGGUCCGAAGGACUAUCCACUAGGGAAUAAAGCGAGAGGAUAGAAGUGCUUCGAUCAUUCUUUGCCGCAAUAUUCUUUGUCACGCAAACAAUAUCCCUCAAUGUGGAAGGCAAUAUUCUUUGCGCCUCUGGACUGAUUUAUGGAACUCAAUCUUUCUGGGAGUCUGAAUGGCUAAGACGAUAAGGGAAGAAAAUCAAUGACCCACGGAGCGCGGAGGACGAGUCUCGCAAUAUUCUUUGCACCUGGGUAAGAAAAGAGAUGGAGCGCUAGAAUGGAAGAACUGAUCUUCUUCCUCCUCCUACACUGGGACUGAGCCCCGAACCCUCUCUCUUCCUCUAUAUAGGGGAAGGACUAGUCUGUAAAAUGCUAUUUUUCAUCGAUCAAUAUCCGAAGUAUUAGGCUCCAUAAGACAGGGAUAUUGUAAGAAGUAUGAAUAGCUAUUACUUUUCAGACAAAGUCGGACCUACAAGAUCCAGUCAAUUAAUACGGAGUGGGCUUGCUUUGGGCCUCAGUAGCUUAAUAUUCAGAUCCCCAUAUUCAUUAGGCGAAGGACUUCUUUAUCCAUUGAAUUUAGCCGACUCCCAUAAAUAAAGACAUAAUAUCGUCAGUCUUAUUCCCUUCUUUGAACCUCUUUUCUAGAUCGAGCUAUUUCUUGCCAGUCGCUUCUCAAAGAGCAAAAUCUCAAAUUCGCAAGUCAAAUUCUCUAAUGGAUAGGCCUUUGUUUUUCUAUGCGUCCUUUGCCUUUGGUUUGCGCUCUUAUAUUCACCUUUUAUUUGCCGCCUUGAUUCUCUUCUUUCUAAUGGAUAGUCCUUCGCAAAUUCUUUGCGCCUAACUCCGGCGCAUAUUGCGUGGGAAUUUUGCGUGAGAAUUUGAGAAAGAAUGAUCGUCAGCCCUUCGUUAAUUACGGAAAGUCCUACUUCGGUUAAUUACGGAUAGUCCUACUUCCAUAUGGAUAGUCCUACGGAUAAGAAUCCUCCGGACUCCGGACCCUGGACCUUUCUUUGAUGGCGCAAAGAAUUUGCGAAAGGAGUCUUAUUCCACUAAAAAACGAUAGAGGAGGGGUCGGAUCGGGGGAAUCCGUGGGGGUUGCGGUGGCAGCUGAAAAGGAAUCAAUCGUCCCAGGAGCAGUCGCGGAGGCGGAAAUGCUCUACUCCCACGGAGCGCUAGCCCUUGGCUGAUCAGUCAUCGGAUAAAUUCCCAAAACCCACGUAGCGGUAAUUACAGAAGUCAAUUCUCAUUAUUUCUUCCGUAUAGAAAAAACCUGAGAAGUUCACCCUUUCUACCAUCCCAUCCCGACUUCCUUCUUUGUGCAUUCAUGGGUGAGGCAUUCGGCUUUUGAAUCUGGAAUCAUUUCUCAUUCGCAGUCUGAUGAAAAGAAAGAAAUGAGGACCUCUACCUCUACUCCUUUUCCUGCCAUAAAAGAUAGGGGUAGGUAGGUCAAUUCGACCCCAGCCCCGCAGCUUUCAGGUCCUUGGUGCUCGAACCAGGCGGGCAACUUACUCUUUUUCUGUGGAUACUUCCGAACAUUAUAAGGAAAACGGAGCGGUGGAAUAAAGAGGUCAAAAGGACGGGAGCGUGAAUACGGAUGAAAUGGGACGUAAGAAGUCGAGCGAGUGACGGGGAAAUGGGACAUCAAUCUUGAGAAGAACCUCUAGGUCAAGGACAGCACUGGGCCGCACCGCCUCAAUGAACAAAGGGAAGAGUGCCGAUCCCGGAGUAGGAGUCUGAAAGAAGGCUUGGCCUGAGUGAAUUCUUCAUUCUCUCUUUCUCUUCGAGGAAGAAAUCUCUUGAUUUUAUUAUCCCACCGUCUGUAGCGUAGUGGGGAAAGUUCUCAGUCUCCGUUGAUACUCUGCCAGACCUUUACCGGCCGACUACAAGGCUGAAUAUGGCAAUUAUAAGGGGUCCAGAUGGUCAAAGCCCUCAAUAAUAAGGGAUAGCUCUGACUUUGAAAACAAAGAAGGACUAUUCCUCAAAUUCUUUGAGCCUAAAGAUGAACGGAAAAUCUUCUAAUGGAUAGGACUGAGGCGCAAUGAAAUAUGCCUUGAUUGAGAGCUUGAUUUUUCUUGUGUCUUUGUUUUGGAUGAGAAAUCUCUCAAAUACUUUGAGCCUUGGAAUGAGCAUUUCAGAGCUUACCGAUCAGACCCUACUACUGAUCCGAGUUGGCUACUACUUCCUUUUCUUCAACAAGGGAUGAGAUGAGGCUUAUCUUAUUCGAACUUCAAGUAGGUACUUCUGGAUCUUCCAAGUAUGCCUAUUUCCUGAGAGUGAGCUUGCGCAAGUAAUCCCCCUUUUUCUUACUCUCAGAACCCCAAAUCUUUUCGUACUUCCCCCUGAGGUCCCAGCUCCAACUCUUCUUCUCGCUUUAGGAAUUCAAAUUCUUCUUGAAUGAUCUCUUUCGUAAAGCUAUUUUUCUAUGGUAAAUUCACUCUUUAGCCGAUGACGCGGGAGAACACGGGUUCACUGGGGUGGAUAGAAUACGACCCGAGCGUCGGACCGAGACAGGAGGACCCAUUACCAGUUGAGGAAUUCAGUCGAGAUCGAGACCGUGCGGAGCCUUCCACUGGGACGUUCUCCUUUGUUUACGUGAAAACCUUUCCAGAUGAGCAUACGACCCAACUUCCCCGUAUGAGGAGGACUUGGUCCGUCCCUUUCUUCUUAGUAGUACUUUGACUUCUUCCCCGCGUAGAGGAGGAGCGAGCUCCCUCCCUUUCCUGGGAUUUAGAUGAAAGCAUCCCAAUGAGAGAAUAGAUUAUUCAACCCUACAGCGUCUGGGACAAGAAGGCGAACUACUUCUUUCUCUCUCUCUCUCCUUUCCUGAAGAUGAAAUAAGAUUCUGAUAAUAUAAGUCGAAAGGGAAAGAGAUCAUUCAAGAUCGAAUGAAAGAAGAUAAGUGAAUAAAGCUCUUUCUCUUGUUCCGCUCCUUACUUCUUCUUCUUUUUCAUACUCUUUUCAAUCAUAAGGCUGCCUCUUUCUCCUGAACUCCGUCUCCUAGGCUUUCUCUUUCUUUCUCUAUUUCGAAGAAUCUUUUCAAUCAUCAAAAUCAAAAGGCUGAACAUUGAGGUCUUCGCCCUUUAGGCAGUUCGCCCAGCACAGCAGUCGCAGCUCUUUCUCUUUCAAGAAGUUUGAGACUGAGAUUCUGAACGAGUAGGAUGAAAUAGCAGGCACAAAGGCCCCACCAAGAAGAAAGUCCUCCCCUUCUUAUGGUGGCUCUAGCAAAUAGUCAGCGAAGAAGCUUCCAAAUAGUAAGCUGUCGAGUAAGAGGGAGUCGAAAAGAAGCGCGAACUCCAGUGAUUAGGGUAGAGUCUCAUCCCCCCAUAAUCAAGUAGCGUCCACUAAAAAGGAGCGGAGCGCGGAAGGACGAGGCGCAAUGAAAUAUGCGAGGAUGAGGCAUCAUCGUAUAAGAGGGAGCAAAGGAUCUCCGUGAAGCUGCUCGAGGAGAGGAAUGAAAUGGCGAGACUGAAAGGAGAGGCAUCCCUUUCUCUUGCACCAGUGGUUGUCCCAGUUCUUCUUUAAGCUGUAGCCGGCUGUGGUUCUUCCGGUUGAGGAAGUAGCUCUCGCUCUUCCAGUCUCGGAUAUUAUUCUAUUUUCAUAUUGUAUAUUCAAAAAUAUUCCCAAUUAGAGUAGAUUGGGUGCAGCGAUCCCGGGAAUGAGUCGGACUAGCCUACAUAAAGCGCUUUUCUCACUAUAUAUGUCUCGACUCUUUUGUAUCGCUUAUUCAGGAGACUGAGUCAGAAAGGGAAGAAGCAGAGAAAGAUCAAGCUUUCCCGAUAGGGGAGAGUAGUUAUGAUCCGGGGUCUUUCCUUAAAAAGGUAUUCUAGAAUAAGAGUUUGUUAGCAUCUCUCCAUUCUCAUUGUCUGAGUAUGAUAAGUUUCUCUUUCAUGAGAAGGAGACUGAGAAGGCUUCGGGUCUGUCUUUCGCCUCUUUAGAUAUUAUGUCAACUUCUCUUCUGCUUUUCGCACCGAUAAGUCAAGUCCUCUCUCUCCCCUCUUACUCAACUUCGUAAACCUAGUCUCUAUGCACUUGCACUCCUUCGCAAUAUUCUUUGCGCCUCAUCAUCAAAAGAGAAAGUGCUCUCGCAAUAUUCUUUGCGCCUCCAGGACGUCCUCUGGACUAUCAACCUAUUACUUUGAACUUUUAUCCCUCUCAUAACAUAAAUAGUGGGACUUAUCCAGCCUGAGGAGGGCAGAAUCAAGGCUCCAUAAGACAGGGAUAUUGUAUGAGUUCUAUACAAAAAAUAGGCGAAGAAGAAUUGCGAGGUCCGUAAAUCAUCUGAGAAUCCCGGUAAUUUUGGGGGAGGUGAAAAGAAGAAAAGAGUCCAAUAAGAGACCGCGGCUUGGGAACUCAUUCCCGAAGAUAAGCAAGAACUUCUCCUCCUCCUCCAAGACUGAAAUUCCAAGAGCCACUUCUCCCUCUUCUGAUGACGCAUACCACCGGUGUCUCGAUUUCUUUGAUGAGUGGAAGGACGACAGGUUAAGCUUGAUAAAGAAGUCAUCUGGACCGCUCCAACUAACCUCUGCGGUCAGUCCUUCGGACCAGCUGACUAUCCCUAAAAUAGUAAGGAGUCUUAUGGCGCUCGUCUUGAGCCUGAAUUAUCGAAAAGACUUCUGCAGAGAGCCAAGAAUUUGCGAGCAGCAUAAGGAAUAAGGAGUCGAUCAAAUUAAGGCUUCGGACCGCGGAAGGACGAGUCUGAUUCCAAAAAAGACUUCUGCAGACGUUAGGAUCAAUGAAAUUUGAGAGAGGCGCAAAGAAUAUUGCUCAGGCUCGCCUAAAUUUGAAGUGGAAGGCAAUAUAAUUCAGGCUGAGGAUCAAAGAACAAGAGCGGGAAGAACUGGAUAUUGUAGGAGUUGACGGCUCGACUGUAAGGCUAAAUGUGGGGCGCAGUUGCGCAAUAUUGCGAGAAGUCUUUAUAUAUUGAUUAGCCUACUUUUCUGGAUUGGGACAUGAAUAAAUUAGAAUCCAAGGAUUGAUCGAACCUCGACGCAAAUUCUUUGCGCUAGUGCGAAUGAAAAAAAAUUCAGGCUAUAGGCGAGAUAGAAAAAUGACCCAGGGCGCGCCUUCUUCAAUGAAACUGGGUGGGGACCCGCGUGAGCCUAAUGCUCUUUAUUGGGCCGAUUCCCCGCUUGGAUCAGACAAGGGCGGGGGUAGAAGUUUGACCUUUGGAUCCGCAGUCAAGGAUCCCUCUUUCUAAAAGUAUGUCAAGAGCAUACUUGAGCUGAGAAAGAGAGAGACCAUGCGAUGAUUGAUCUACUGAAAUGCCAAGCCUUAUCUCAGUCUCCAGAACUCCACAGGAAAAUAGCAAGACGGGGGUUAGAAUUACCCAGUUCAUAUCCACUCCUUGCUAAGAGUUUAGUCUUCUUUCUCCCCGCAAGCCCGUUGAAUCAUGACUUCCUUAAUGCCUUUAUACCCUCGUAUGAGAAAAAAAACCUAGCCUGAAAGUGAGAGAUGGAAUUCAUUCUAUAUAUUCUUUGCACCUUCGCAAUAUUCUUUGCGCCUUUCUUUUAUCCAGCGGAGCCUUUCAACAAGCACUUGAUCCCGUAUUUAUCCUACGCGUAGCGGUGAAAGCUCAAAUUGCAUUGAGCCUGUGAAAAGUCAAGAAAAAAAGAAAAGAAUAAUUAACUCAUUAACGAUAAUGAAAGAAGCUCAAAACAAAAUGAAUCUGCUAGAUUUCAGAUUAAUCUGCUAGAUUUCAGACUAGUCCUUCGCGGAGGGAAAUACAAGAAAAUGCUAGGUUUUGGGCCUAUAAAGUAGCAAGAAAUCAUGAAAAAUCCGUCAAAAUUAGACAAUUAUCGUUAGAUAUAUAUAUGAGAAAAAGUCCUAUUUAGAAGCAAAAAAGCCGGGAAAACGCAAUGAAAGAAGAACUCCUAGGACAGGUAAAAUCAAUGAACAGAGUUUGAUUAUGGUUUCUGGUCCGGAGAAAUACGGGUCUAUUCUGGAUUUCCCUCCAGGUUAUGGGUGAUUCAAUCAUAAUGAUUCUUUCAUUCGAGUUAAUGAGCUUCUUUCUUUGCGCCUGCGCCUGGACCAAAGGUUAAUAUGGAUGGAUAGUCCUACUUCCUUCCAUAUGGAUGGUCCUACUUCGGUUAAUUACGGAUGGUCCUACGGAUAAAUCACCUGGACCUUUCUUUGGCCCUGCGGACUGCGGACGUAGGACUACUUCGGUUAAUUACGGAUGGUCCUACGGAUAAAUCACCUGGACCUUUCUUUGGCCCUGCGGACUGCGGACCCUGGACCUUUCUUUGGCACUCCGGACUGGAUCUUGUAGGUCAUUCUGACCCGAAAAGAAAAGUAGUGCUUUGAAAGGUAGGGAAGGUUACCCCACGUAGCGGUAAGGGCGCAGCAAAGGUUCUUUCCGGAGAUGGCCCUUUAUUCUGGCCCACGGAGCGGUUGUGCAUGAAGCAAGAGAUCUUGGAAGUAGCUUUCUUGCAAAGCGAUUAUGAGAAAUUCAUAAUGAGGUCUUGACUUUCAAGAGUCUUAAAGGUAACUUCAUAAAGAGUGCUCUUUCAGUUGACUCUUUCUGUCUAUAAAGCUCUUCUUCUUAUUAGUUUCGCGGGAGAGAGAGGAUGAGGGGUGCCCGAGGAAGAAAUGCUAUCCCAAAGGGCAGAGUACGUUGAUGUCCCCGUUCUUGUUUAAGAGGUGGCCUCAUCCGUUGAUCAGUAGGGCAUUUCUUUCCUUAGAUCUCUUUCGUAAGACCUCAUGAAAGGAUUAUUUAUUCAUUGUCGUCUGAUCGAAAGAUGUCAAUGUGCUUGCCCAUUUUAUGAAGAAAUACACCAGCCUCAGAUCUCGCCCAUGGAUUGAUGAAAGCCAAAAGGCCCUUUAUUGUAUUGUACAUCUUUCACGCAAGGAGACGUAAGAAGUCGACCGCCUACUCAUUUGGAAGAAGAAGAAAGACAAAAGAAGAAUGAGUCCUCCGGAAGGAAGGCUCGACCGUCGGAGGGAAGAGGGCUGCCAGAGAUGAGUAUGAGUCAUCCCUUGCUUUAGUUGAAAGAGCUAAAGUAGCAGUCCUUUCUUAUACCUUUCAUCUCGUGAAUGCACUCAAUUAAGGAUGAAAAAAUCUCGUCAAUUCUCAUUCCAUGAAGGACGACAAGAAAGUAGACUCGCCACGGGGCGCCGAAUCAGGCAAAUAGCCCUUAUCUCUCUUUAUGUCCCACUCGAGAAGACCUUUUCUUGCAGGUCCAAAUUAUGACAUUCUACCUCGAAAAGUGGUUAGGGCUUAGAAAGUAUCAAACUAGAAAAGGAUGCCCCAUGGACGCGAUUUCUUCCAUUCAGCCUAUGGUCUUUUCUCACUAAAAUGUCCAUUGGGUCUUCGCCAAAAACCUGCAUUGAAAAAGGAUGCAAACCAAGGUCAAUAUUCUUUGAACCUUUGAACCCAUGAAUUCACAUGAAAAGGAGUCCCAGAAAAGUGAAGGAAAAGAAAGAGGUUAAUAUGGUAGAUUGAAGACGGGUCAGAAUCAGGAGAUCUCGGACUUAAGGAAGACGGAGCGGUAGGCCUACUUUGAGGGAUCGACCCAGGAGAGGCAUAGGAGUUCAGCGGAUUGCCCAGAGUCUGAGGAGAGACCAGGUGCAGUCUAAUGGAUAGGACUGAGGCGCAUCAAAAAAAAGGUUGAAGAUGACCUUGAUUUUUCAUUGAGGCCGUUCUUCUCCUUGCAGUAGCUUUGAUUCUUUCAAGAGUUGAGGAUCAAAGAAGAUUGAUAAGUAUAUAGGGAUAAGCUAAGCAUUGAGCUAGAGAUCGUAAGACCCAGGCGAAUAGCGAGGCAGAAGGGAUUGUGAUGUCUGAGCUUCUUUCUUACCAUAAAUUAAGAACCUUGAAUGAGGCCGACGGAAAGAGAUCGUCCGAGAGGUUCAAAGAAUAUUGACUUGUUCAUUGAGGCGAUAACCACAAGAGCAAACUCUUGAUAUGAGUUUGAAGAGAUGAAUAUAAGGAAGGAAGCUAGACAAGAGCAUCUAAAUAGGUUUUCUUGAAAUAGGAUCUAAAGGUGCGAAUAGACCAAUAAGGAUCGAGGGGUUGUCCGGCGGAGACAGAAGUCUCCUUCUUCACUCUCGGUCUAUGAAAUGAAAUUGGUUAUACCGCUCUGCUUCUUUGCUUCCUCAUCAAGAUAUGAAUAAUAAGAGGAGUCUUCUUCUGAGAAGUCCGAUCCACUGAGACCCCUUAAGUACUGCUUCCCUUCAAGAAAGAACUCGUUGAGACGAGGUCCAUUCGACGGAGAACAAAGUCCCUCCCUUUUGGCAUACUUGAUGGACCCAGCGGCAUAUCGGGGAAUGGCUCACAAGCAAUGAAUGAGUGGGGGGCGUAGGAUACUCGUUGGGGACUCCCAACAGCACUAUUAGCUGUCUAGCGGAGAAUCUGUUGAGCUUUUGGAAGGAGCGGAGCAUAAGAAGGGGAGGACUUUGAUUCCAUAGUUUUCUUAGAGGCGUAGGAGGACGCUUAUUCCUUUUCUAGAACCUUCUAGAACCUACUAUUUGGAGGCGAAGGACUUCGCACAAUAUUCUUUGCUCCUAAGUCUGCUUUGAAAAGGAAAAAAAGAGUAUUCAUCCUUUCUCUACUUCUACUUUGAGCCUGAAUUUCCCCGUCCUCAGUCGCAGGUUAAUAUGGAUAGUCCUUCGGACGGAAUCAAAAAUCGCAAUAUUCUUUGCACCUUUGUUUUUUCCUUCCGCGGUUCAAGACGCCUCAUUAAUAUGGAUAAAAACAAGUCCUCCUACUCGUUCAAGUUCCACGCAAUAUUCUUUGCUCCUUGCUAAAAGAAAGAAUCUCAUCUUCUCAUAUUUCAUUGACCGUUAGGCUCUCGCAAUAUUCUUUGCGCCUCAAUCGCAUCGCAAAUUCUUUGCGCCUCCGCUCAAAUUCCCUAAUGGAUAGUCAUCUGGACCCCUUAUAAUUGGGGGCCAUAGAUCUUUGCGCCUCUCAUCAAAUCCCCUAAUGGAUAGUCCUUCGGACCUGUCUUAUGGGGCCUCCGUAGCUUAAUAUGAUUUGCGAAAAUUUGAUGCGUCUUUUCCGCUUCGAAUAUGAAUUCAUCCUGAGAGCAGAACAAUUGACAAGGUUUGCUGCGGAGUUAGAGUUCUUCUUUUCUCAUGCAAGCUUGUAAAUGAUAGGUCUAAUUACUAUCCGCAUCUCUACCCGUAUUACCGGAAUCUAAAUCAAAUGGGUCUUGUCCUACGGUCGGUCUGUGUUGGAUUGAGCUCAAGUUCACUUCUUUUACCUUUCGUUUUCUACCUGAAAAUGCUCUACUUAGAAAAAAAGAGAAAUUCUGAUGUUCAAUUUGGAGGUUCUUCAAUCUAUGAAAAGAGAUGCUAAGAAAGAAUUCAAGAAAGUCCAUUACUGGUGAUCUCGUCUUGCUUGCUGGGAGAGAGGACGGACCACCUUUUGAAGGCAGAUAGCGAGCGAUCACUCAGCAAUUCAGACUAAAAGCGGCCGAGAAUUAGUACCUAUCCCUUACGGGAAUCGAACCCGUGUCUUCGACAUGAAAAGACGAUGUCCUAACCACUGGACGAAAGGGACCAAAAAGCCAUUCUUCAUAUACCUAGUAGUGGGAUCCGAGAAUAGAAGUCCUUCCUUUGAUUGAUAUACGCAAUUCGACGAUUUCCUUUGUCUGAAUCUUGGCGAUUUCUGAUUCAGCGGGUCCUCCCCCCUUCCCCCACCGAUGAGACAGCAACCACGCCCCCUUCGUAAACUCACUCGACUCAAUUACGAAAGAAAUAAGAAGAUAUUAAUAGAUAUAAGAAGAUAAGAAAGCUCUGAUGAUGCGUCUUUCUGUACUCUUCGGGAAGCCCAUAAAUUAUGAAUCUUUGCGAAUGAAAGACUAUUACAAUCAAUGAUUGAGGGAGCGGAAAGAAAGGCUCCACUAAAGAAGGGCAGAGGAAGACUGAGAGUUAGUAUGAUGAAAGAGGUUAUCAGCUGCUAUCCGGUUAGGAGGGAAGGAAUUGAAGACGAAUCGAGGAUUUGAGACAGAGGUUAGAACGACCUACAGGAAAGGAUCGGGUAUUUCAUUCAUAGAGCUUUUAGGGGUCAAGACGAUCUAUCAUUCCCCAACUCCUAUCCUUAUAUGAGAGUCACUCAAAUUCUGAUCGCCAUUCUCUUCUUUGUUCUCUCUUUCCUUGAUUGAGUCUUCCACGCAAUCUAUCUAUCCUGUAUCGGGAAGGUUGGAAUAUGCUCUCCUCUUCUUCCUACAUUUCCUGAAUAACUUCAAGGCGUCACCGAUCGGGGACUUCGACUGCCUUGUAUCAGGUUCAGAGAAGGGGUGGUAGGCUUAGUAGGGCUCGAACCUAGAAUAUCACCCUUAUGAGCGGUACCUUGAAAGCAAUGAAACUAUAAGCCCGAUCUCUACAUGCAAUUCGCUCACUUCGGGAAGAGGAAAGAGGAGAGGUGCAAAGAAUAUUGCGAGGCGCCAUAAGACAGGUCCGAAGGACAGACAGGCGCAUUGAAUAGAUUAUGCUGAAGGCUAGGCGCAAAGUUCGGUUAAUUACGGAAAGUCCUCCGGACUACUUCGGUUAAUUACGGAUGGUCCUACUUCUGUUAAUUACGGAUGGUCCUACGGAUAAAUCCUCCGGACUACUUCCCUCCAUAUGGAUGGUCCUACGGAUAAAUCCUCCGGACUACGGAUAAAUCCUGCGGACUCCGGACCCUGGACCUUUCUUUGAUGGAGGUGAAAAGAAUAUUGACAAAGAAUAUUGCGAGGUUCAUACUAUUACUUUAAAUAGUGGGACUGAUUUUGAUCCAUAUUCCUGAGGGAGCGGUACUACUUUCUUUUUUUGUGCCCGGUCCAACUAGGAGGGAUGGAACUCAUGCCUCCCGCGGUCGAGCUAGCUUGUUCUCGCUGCUCUCUUUUCUUUAUAGAAAAGCAUAAAAGCUUCAUCUUUGAUUUGUGUGAGGUAAAAGGGGUUCUUCUUGAACGAGAUUUGUUCGUAAAUCUCUACUAUAGAGAAAGGAAAAAAGGAGUAAGUCCGCUGAUUUUACGUGAUUUCUUCCAUCUUGCCUAUGGCGGAAAAGAGCUUAUUAAGGGCGAAAGCAAAGAACCGUGCUCUAGGCGCAGGAUCUGGGAUGUCACAAAGCGACUGUAAACAACCGCCGCUACACAAGGGGAGGAGUCUUUGCAGCUUAGUUGGGUUAAGUUAAGUCGCCAAAUUCUCAAUUCUUCAUUUCCCUUGUAACAAAAAGUAGCCGCCAUUGCAGGAGCCGUUUCAGGAGUCGCUGCAGGCGCUCUUCGUCUUCUAGUUUCAGCUUUUGUUGAAGUAGCCCUUGUUCGAUCGAUCGAAAAGGCUAGAUCUCUGUCCCAUAUUUCCAAGGCUAAAAGAAAAGGCUGAUUCAAGGUCGUAGCAGUGAGAAAAAAAGACUUUUGACUCGUCCGAAGGACUUGUUUAUCCAAUUAUAAGGAAGACGGAGCGGUUCCAUCCAUAACAAGGUGAACCAACAAAGGAGUCCGUCGCUGAGGAGGUCGGAAAGUGAAGGGCACCACGGUCUGGUCCCAGACCGAUUCAGUGGAAGUUGCUUUGUUGAAAAGCGAUUAUGAAUAUUCUUGUAUAUAAAGACGUAAGAGAAAGAAAGGUGCGAAGCAAAAAGAAAGUGAAGGAAGACGUAGCGGUAGACUAAGAAAGUAGUACAAUACAAGAAGGGACAAAGGCCCCAUAAGAAGAAAGAGGGAUGGGAUCGCGCACGCCCACUACGCGGGGGAAUAGGUUUCAUAGUCCUCCGGAAUUAUUAAGGAGAAGGACGCUCGCAAUAUGGGCCUCCUACGCUUAAUAUGGCAAAGAAUAUUGCGUUUUGGAUAGCUCUGAUUUUGGUUUUCGUCCUUCGUCCUCUCAAAUUCUUUCUCAAUAUUCUUUCUCAAUAUUCUUUGCACCUCUCCUCCAUCUCAGUCGAGCCGCUAAUUUGUAAUUCAACUCCGUUAGGUCCUCCGGACUAUCCAUAUUAACCCAGAUUUCAGACUCCGCACUCAACGCAUAUUUCAUUGCGCAUCUGGACCCCUUAUAAUUGGGCCAUAGAUCUUUGCUCCUCGCAAUAUUCUUUUUUUCUGUCUUGUAAAUCAUCAAAAUCUUAUAAGAAGAGAGACCAAAAAAAAGGGAAGGAAGAUGAAGGAUCCGCGGAACUGAAUGAAGAAGAAUUAGUACGGGUCUGGAGCUGCCAAGCUAUUAUUUGAAAAAUAUAGAGUAGAUUAUGAGUACCCUCAUGGCUUGAAAACAAGCUUCGGUUGGGAGUCUGACUUGGAAUUAGAAGUUUCCCGAAGCGAGAGAGAGAGAGUUUACUUCGGAAUUCUCAGAAGAAUGAGUAAGAGAAAGAGGAAUUCCACCCUAGCCUCAAGCCUGAAUUUAUGUGGGAUCAGAUUCUGAUAAUAAAGAAGAAAGCUCAGAGGAUCGUCUAAUGAGUCAGAUCGGCUAUCUAUGAUAUAGGAGGAGGGUAGCUUGGAGACAAAGACCAUAAUAAACUGAGUUGGAGUUGACUCGCGGUGUGAAUAGACUGUAUCAGCAGAAGUCUCGGAAGAGGAAUGAGUUGGAGAAGAAAGAAUGAACUCCAUAAUCUCGUAUUAUAAUAAGAAGAAAGAAUCUCUUAUCAUAUUAGCUUUCUCUCUUUCAUUCAUAGUCAGCUCUCCCGGAUUCAGUCUCAUAACUCUGAUUAUUAGUGGGGGAGUCGGCCUUGGGGAGGUUCAAAGAAUAUUGACGGAGCGGUCUCGUAGACAAGGUAUGAAUGAGAACGAGAAGGAGAAUCAAGUCUCACGGAAAGCUUAUCGACAAAUCUGCCUAUUUUUGGGGUGCACGAGGCUCAAAGAAUUUGAGAGAACUCGAAGCCUGCUCGUAGAAUACGGCUAGGCACAGACUCUCCAAAGAAGGCUACUAGGAUCAGACUUGCUUGGGACCGGACCAGAGUGACCGGACGACCAGAAAUUCUUUUCUUUCAUCUUCGUAUAAGGUAAUUAUCUCUUUCUACAUCAGAAGUAGGGGACCAGGGAAUUCCCAGUCGACCGAGUUCUCUCUAAUGGAUAGGGUCGACGAGAGAAAUAAGGUGAUGAAUCAGUCGAGUCAAAUCAGAGACGAUCGCAGUCUUCUUAUCUACUUAGUUUCGGAAUGCAGUAGGAAGACGGGAAGAGGUUUGAGUAUUGAAUAGUUUCCGGGAGAGAGAAGAAGCAAUCUCACACUCAGUUUCAGAAGAGUCAGUGGCAGCCGCUGUGGCAGUUGCUAACCCAAGUGGAUAGUCUUGUGCCGCUAUUAUAGAAGAAGACUGAGAAUGAUCUCUUUCCCGAAGAGGGAACUAUCACAAAGCAAAUAUCUCAAUUCUAAGCAUUCUCAAUUAGUAGGUCGAAGCAAGACCGAGUUGGAGACAGCGUAGCGAGACCAAAUAGAGGGAGGCCUUAGCCUCUCUAUAGGCGUUCCGAUCCUUUUCCCGGCUGCGUCCUACAUAGUCAAGAGCACUUGUAAGAAUUCCCUAUAUCCGAUACUGGAUAGACCCUGUCUUCCUUCUAAGGAUCGAACUGGAACUCUUCACUCUGAAAGAAGAUCGACUGAUUCCGAUCUGGAUCUUCCCUCGUCAACUGAGAAUACCGCUUCCCGAUUUUCUGAUAAGAGAAUUCCGAAAUCAGUCCCAAGAUAAGGAUGCCUUGGUUAGCAUAUGAAAUGUGCACAGCUCUUGAUUCGUAAGAAAGCUACUUGCCAUUUAGAAUACAGAGUGAUGAGACUAAGAAUAUCCCUGUCUUAUGGGGCCUUCGUAGCUUAAUAAUGGGGGUCCGGGAUAGACUCUUCCUCUAGCUUCGGAAAGACUAUCUCAUACGAAGAGAAAGAAGACAGAUGAAACUUAAUCAACUGCGGGGAUAAGUUGAAUUAUUCAUACCGAGAGGAUAGACUUAGAUACCCGCGGGAAAAGAAAGAACUCUUCAAUUUAGCGCUCCACCCAUUUUAUUCUUUAGAAAUCCUAUUACAAAGAUUACUAUCGCCCAAGGCUUCUUCUGACUCUGGAUGAGGUCCCUGCCUCCCCUACUGAUGAGAAUAGUACUUCUUCCUCAACUUCAAGACCCGAGACCUUACGGCACGAGCUCUGGAAGGAGGAGAAUGCUCCUUCUUGUAGAAAUAGGUUUUUCUGCUUUAUAUCCCGCCUAUCCCCCCGGGUUAGCCCCUUGUUUGUCGAGGUCAAUAUUCUUUUCACCUCUUUCUCUGGGUCUGACCUUUCGUCCCUAGGGAUCCUGAAUGAAAGUCUUCCCAUUCUUCUUAUUCAUUCCCUUGCUUCCGAGUGAUAUUCUCUAAUAGAAAGAAGACGGAGAUCCCGGAAGAGAUAUUCUCUACCCUAUCCAGUCUCUCCUAUUCUCCUGAUGACAUCGACUUCCCUUGCAGCCUCAACUGAGCACUUGCUUCAUUCAACGGAUUUAUGAAAGAUUCGUACUGCCUAUGAAACCGAGACUAAGCGAUCCCGAAACAAAGUAGCAAGACGGAGAUCCCGAAAGAGAGAAUGAAAGUAAGUAGUUGACCUAUUCACACAUCUAUUCCUAGAAAAGUCGUAUUCAGACCGAAGACUGAAAAGAUAUGAUAACCUCGUCUUCUCUGUCGAGCUGACCUAUCCAACUAAUAAUCAGAUAUGCCGAGACCCUACUUUAGUUUUUAUAAGCUUCGGAUCUUCCCUUUAACGGUCUUCCCUUUCUCCCCGAGUGGGGUUCCCUAUUUCGGCGGCAACUGAGACUGAUGACUUUAGGGCUCCUUCUACCCUCUCUGCGUACUCAAUCCUAUCUUUGAGGCUUCCAAUCAGCCCUUAUUGAGGCGGUAUCGCUGACUCCCUAGCUUCGGGGACUUAGACGGAUGACUCUUUCUUUUCCAGCAGUCUAGCCUUUUUGUUCUCGAUGCUACCGCGGAGUGGGACUGAAAGCCUAUUCAUACCUUCCCCUCUCAUCUGGUCGAGACUGAUUAGUCUAAGUCUCCGAAGUAUUGGUCUCGAAGUAGAUAAGUUCGGGGGAUCCGGAACGAGUUUGGAAGUAAUAAAGAAGUAGUUCGUUCGCGCCUUGCCCAGUGGGUCAACUUCUAACCUUCCCCGCGGAGUGGGCGCGGAUCAUAUGUUCGUUCCCUAGCCUUCUUCGCAAAUUCUUUGCGCCUCAAGAUCUUUGCUUUUUGGUCCUCUUGACAUAUGAACUUCUUCUUUUCCAUCGCUUGAUUGAUACUCUGCCAGACGUGGACCGGCUUCGCGUGCGCCUGUAUAUCUUGAAGGGCCACUGACGGCCUCGCACUUUGGGCGCAGGGUUUGAGAAAGGAAAAGAAAGAAAUAAAGAAAGAGAAAGCUGAAACUAUCAGAAUCUAUAUGAUUCAGUAUGAAUUAGGCGAAGGACUUUAUCAAGCUUAAUCAUAUUUCAUAAAUAAGGGGCGAAGUGUAGUAAAUCAAAGAAAAUGAGCUCAUUAACGAGAAUUGAAAAGUCAAGAAUCAUUAUUCUUUCAUAACCUUGUUCAUUGGGAAUCAAGAAUAGACCUCUCUUUCUCCGUCCGUAGGACUAUCCAUUAGAAAAGUUUUCACAAACUAUGUGAAUUUCUUAUCCCUUUAUGAUUCUUUCAUUGCUAUUUCCCGGCUUUUUUGCUUCUAAAUAGGACUUUUUCUCAUAUUGAUAUUCUACGAUAAAAGUACUUUAUUGACUGAUUUUUCAUGAUUUCUUGCUACUUCCCUAUGGGCAAAACCUAGCAUUUUCUUGUAUUUCCCUCCGCGAAGGACUAGUCUUCAAUCUCCCAUAUUCACCUCUUUCUUUUUCAUUCCCAUUUUUUUCUUCUUUCAUUAUCGUUAAUGAGCUGUCCUACGUGCCAAAGAAAGGUCCAGGGUCCUACGUCCGCAGGGCCAAAGAAAGGUCCAGGUGAUUUAUCCGUAGGACCAUCCAUAUGGAGGGAAGUAGUCCGGAGGAUUUAUCCGUAGGACCAUCCGUAAUUAACAGAAGUAGGACCAUCCAUAUGGAAGGAAGGACUCUAAAACGGAGGCGCAAAGAAUUUGCGAUGCGACUUUGAGCCAAAAGAAAGAAUGUCAUCUUGAGCCUUGCAAUUCUUCCAAAUAGUAAUCCCUUCUUCCAUUGUGAAUCUGAGGGUAGCACUUUCAUGAGAGGGGGAAGAAGUCAGAAAAGCAUCAGCCCACUACGCGGUAGCAAGAGAAGGAGCUAACCCCUUUUUUCCGUCAUAAGUAUUCAAGAAAGGAAGCCGCAAAUCCUUUACUGGAAAGAAAAGUACGAGGCAGCUAGGGAAGCCUCUCUUUCUAUAGGCAGGCGCUGCGGUAUGAUUUAUAUCAUGAUGAUAUGCUUUGAGUAGGACUAGCGCAUCUUAAUCUUCGAGGUUAGCCCUAGCCUCAAGCAAGCUAUAACUAUUCAUUAGUAGGAGCGGACUCAAGUCAAUAUUAAAAGACCCUUGCUUUAGUUUCUGCUUGAGUUUCAGAAGUUCUUUCUUGUAUAGAUAGAAAGGCUUAAUUAAGCUAGAAUAAAUACGACUUAAACCUACUAUUUAGAUUCAAGCCUAUGGACUUCUGAUCAUUCCACUAAAUCUUUCUGACCCGAGCAAAGAAUAUUUCAAAAUCAAGCUCAUCCUCAACCUUGUUUUUGAUGAGCUUGAUUUUUCAUGGAUCUUUGAGCCUCUCCCGAUUCCCCUUUCUUUGAGAAAGAGCUUACGAUUUCAGAGUUCUUGCUUUCCACAACGGAUAAUGAAAAGAGUGAUAGCUUUCCCUUGCUUCUAAUGGAACUACUGCGGAUGGGGAAUACAAUUCAAUACUAUAAUAACGAAAGACAGAUCAUAACCUAAAAUCCCUAUGAGUUCGAGCUUAUUCAACUCUUUCUACUGAGACUGAUUGAUCUUCCUCUCCGGCUGUAGAUUGAGAGUGGAUUUCUGCUGAGAUAGUGUCGAGAAGGUAUUAGCCCUCACCUAUGAAAGAUCUAGAAAAAGGACAGUUCAGCUCUUUCGUAAACAAUUGGGCGGUGCUUCCUCUGCUGAAGACUGACUUCUCGCCCGCUCCGUCGGCCUUGAUCUGAAAGUUGGAGGAAACCUCCUUUUCAGUCCUUCUAGCCAUUAGAUAGAAUCCCCAGACUCCUCUUGCAAUGUCCCUAUAAAGUCGAGCCACUAUUUUUUCUCUGCCUUACGAAUGAAUACCUUUCUGCCUACUAAUGAACGGCCGCUUACUCUCCUCACUUUCUUAGUAUGUGGCCUCUUUAGGCUUGUAGUGAGAAAAGCGCUUUACUCAAGAUCUAAUUCAAGAGAAACCUCGGACUCAAGAUCAACUACUCCCCUAUUCUCUUCUGCCGAUGUCAGUUACCUUUAAUCCGACCCUACUCGGGGGUUAGCCACUUCGAUCUGCUUUAGGCGCCUCGUGUCGACUUUGUCAGUUAGUUCGAGUCUCGGGAACUCGGCUUUGAUCAUUUAUUCUAUUUCCGUUAUAUGAGUUAUCUUUUUGAUAAGCUUUGCUAUUUCAACAACGUCAGCAAGCAAGAAAAGCAACUUAGACGGAAAGAGCCGAAAGAGUAGCUCGAGCAGCGGCUUAGUUUGCCUGCCUCCGACAUGCCCUUGUCGAGCUUCUCUUGAGAUAAUUCUUUUCUCUCUUUGUAUUGGGUCAUUAUUUUGACUUCUUCUUGCAUUACCGCGUAGUGGGCGGGACCUGGCGAGACGUUUAGAACCCCACCUUUCAGGGAAUAUGCUCUUUAAGCGGGUAUGAGCUCUUGAAUGAGCAGAUUUGUGUCCGAUCCGAAUGUCUUAAGCGUAUGCGCACCUCUACAAUACGGUCGAGAUGAGGAAACCUCUUGCACUCCUGUUAAGUCCCUUCCCUUCUAGCCUUCUCCGUCCGAAGUCCGAAGGACUGUCCAUAUGAUAACCUUGCCGUAGGUCGUCUUCUUCCUUAAUUCUUGAGUAAGUCACUGAAAAACCUAGGCUUUCUCUUUUCAUUGACUUAUGGAUUCUUCCUAGUUUCUACAGUGAUUAGGCUUUAGGAAUGGUCAAGAGCUCAAGUACCGAAGAUGAGGCAUACCAUACUCAACCAAUAAGGAAGGGCUGCAAGAGGAGGCUCAAAGAAUCCCACGGAGCGGGAGGACAAGAACUGAAGAAAGAAGAGGUCUAGGCCCUUGAACCUCGAGCCUUGACUCCUCAACCGCGGAGUGGGGGUUAUUCAAGAGUAGUAGUUCGAGAAGGAACCUAAAUGCUUUGCACGUCCCCAUCUCACUAGACUUUGACUCUGGGAUUCCGGAUCAAAUGAAAAGGAAAAAGAAGGCGCGAAGCGACUUUAAAUAAGGGUCAAGACGGGCAGUAGUAGGCCCACUUGGAGAGGCUAAACGAAAGGGUCUACCUUUACCAAAAACAAAAACAAAAGCUCCAGAUGAGUAUGAGUUGACGAAACCCACGGAGCGGUUACGAGGCCUGGUGGCGGCAUCCACCGUCUCAGUUCUCGGAUGAGCCAGUCCCAAGGCUGAUCUAUUUUUCUUUUUCCUCUCUGGUAAUGCAGAAGAAAAAGAAGAAAAGGGGCGCUAACCCAAGGGCAGGGGAAGACGGAAGACGGGAUUGAAGAAGCUGUUUCUGGAGUGGUUGCUGGAUCAGUUGCUUAGUUUCGCCUACCCGUCUCAUGGGGAUUUUACCCGACAUGAAAAUAGCUUCUCCUCCAUUCAGCCAUCCACCUUUUAGACCUCUGUAAACAAGGAUGGAAACUUCCUUCCCCAAAGGCAGGGCAGCAAAGCGGGUGAGAUGAAAACGUCCACGAGUAAGGUCUCACCCAUGAAUGAAAGAGAAGAAGAAGAAGUGGAAUAAAUCAGUCCUAUAAGAAGAGGUCAAGGAAAGCCGUCAGUCUCAAUUUCUUUUGUCUUGCUUGUACAGCUGGAUAUGCUAAAUACUGAUAGCAGAUAGAGAGAUGACCCUCUGGGAACUCAAAAGACAUCGAAGAUCUUUCAUAAUGAGUCGGAUUCCUCAAACUAGUAAAGUACCCAACCAAGGGGAAUCCCAUUACGUAGACUGCCACGAAGGCUGGUGAGAAUGCUGGUACAAGGGAGAAUGCGAGAAUCUCAAAGGUCUCAAAAAUAUAGGUAUCUUUCUGGCUUAUCUAGUCUCACUGGAGACUUUGAUCUCUUCUAUGGAGCCGGAUGUGAGCUUCUCGCCUACUGAUCCAAGAGUCAAUGGCAGCGGACACAUCAAUAGCAGCAGACGCAGAGAUGCUCUUCGGGCUAAGAUGCUGACUUUUCCGUGGAAAGAGUAGUGAUCGGGUAAAUCCUCCCCAUCCAUUCAGGGAGUAUUCGUAAUUGGACUAUUUACAUGAAUCUAUCUCCCACUCUGAAAUAGCGAGGUAGCUACUUGGAAUCUUCGAUUGCCUUUAUCGUCAAAUCAAAUAUUAGUUCCAACGCAAUAUUCUUUGCCUGAAAUUUGAAGGAGUCUUAAGACCGAAGGACUAUCCAUAUUAACCUGUCUGGCCUCCGUAGCUUAAUAUCGUAGUCUGAAAUCAACCAUAUUAACCUGUCCGAAGGACUAUUCGCUAUUCUAAAAGCCUAUCCUCCGCCUAAGAGCGCAAACCAAAGGCAAAGGACGGGUGUGGUAUUCCUUCAUAUCUUUCCUCUUCGGAAUCAGAGUUGGAAAGAGAACAUCCAUCGUCCGCUCUCCCUCUUUCGGAAGCUAGGUAAGAAUCAGACUAAUCCCUUCCUUCCGUCUCGACUUCCAAGGUAUGAAGUUCAGAUAGGUGCUCUUUCAUCAGACAGGUAAUGAGAAGUGGAAUGAGUUAGCAGGCAUCAAAAUGCAAUUCUUCCGCCUCAAUGAACAAGGGCUCUGACGCUCCGUUUUCCUUUCAUUGGUCACCUCGUCAAAUCUCUCUCCCUAGGCUUUCCUCUUCCUUGAACUUUUUCGACUUUCAUCCCCCCCCGUCCUCCGGACUGAUUAAUGGAAUUCUAAAUAGUGGGACUGAUUUUUUAGAAUAGCUCAAUUCUUCGCAAAUUCUUUGCGCCUUCAAAGAAAGGUCCAGGUGACUAUCCGCAUUAACAUUAGAUUGGAGCAGUGAAUUUAUAGACCAGAUCCUAAAUAGUGGUCCGGAGGCGCCAUAAGACAGGUCCGAAGGACUAUCCAUUAGGUCCAUUGAAUAGGGAUAGUCGGACUGAUUUAUGGAUAUGGAAUAUACUCUGGAUAGGCUUUUGUAUUUAUUAGGUUUAGAAGCUUCCCCACUGGAAAUUCCCUUGAUUCUGAUUCCGACACUGAGAAUGCUAAGUCUUCCCUUUCUUAAUAAUAAUAAGGUCGAGAAGGUUCUAACCUUCAGAGUGAUGAGAAAAAGUGGAGUUAUUCGCCGAGCCCACUCUUUAUCUUCCCUUCCCGCUCCGUGGGUCAUUAAUCAUUCUCACUCUUCAAUACCGGAAUAGCAGAAAAACUAUCGAGUCGAGACUGAUUACGAUUCUUGUGCCCCAGCCACUUCUUCCCUUGUUCAUUGAUCAUUCCAAAGCUGCUGAGAUCCUUUCCUGGGUUGACUCUCCUUCUUCAUAACCUUCUCUUUCUCUCCAAGACAGUAAAGCGGCUUCUCCCCUAUCCCAUCACUGGGCAGCAGCAGAGCAGGUUUAUCCUGGUAUGCUUAUGCCGUCUUAGGCGCCCACGUAGCGGUAGUUUUCUCGCCGAUCCUAUGGUUAGGGGCGCCUAUGCCGAUCUCUUUGAGAAGCGAAGGUUCAGCAUAUGGAUAGGAAAAUCUUUAGACUCCCACUCUACGGCGCAGAGUUUGCGAAGCGUUUACGUCUAAAACAUAUGACUGUAGACCUUGAACCUAUCUCGUCAAAGAUGAUCCUCAGAGGCCUUUCACCCUAUGCUUUGGUAGAAUUACCACCUUUUUGUUAAGGACCCCAUGCGCUUAUCCACUCGCCUUAGAACAGCUUAUCUAGGAUUGAAAGCCGCCUCUCGUAUAGAAGUUUUAGACAUCAGAGACGUGCUAAGCGAUCAUUGUACAAAGUUUCUUUCUUCAUAGAGGCAGUGUGAUUUGGGUUUUCUUUGCUCCGCAAGGUAGCCAGAGCCUGCCAGUUUUUUCACUAAAUAGGCAGAAGAGUAUUUUCACUGCAGAAAAGUAGUGCUACGAACUAGUCAGAAUUGUGCCAGCCAUCCAAUUCCUACUUCAUGGAGAGAUUCCUCUACAACUCUGGUAGAAAGAUAACUGAAAGAGGAAGGGGAAGUAGUCCCAGUCUGAUGAAAGAAGAAGUACUAUUCACGGAUCUCAACAUCAAGAAGAUGGAGGCUACUCAUCAAAUGAAAAUCAAAGAAAUUGAGUACUAGCAGGCUGCAAAGAGGCUUUCUGCAAUUGCUGCCGAAAGAGAAAUGGGGAGUCGCGGGCCGCUAACCUCGUCUUAGCCUAAGAUCAGGCCGAAAGGCGUAGUCGGUUUUGAACAUUCUCCCUGUAGGGAUUUUCUAGGUUCUUCCAUCCACCUUCUGACUUAUGAAAAGACAUCUUAGCCCCUCCCUCUCCGUCUUGUCUUCCCUUUCUCGUCUUCUUCCUUAAGAGUUGACAGGAAUGAACCGCUACGUGGGGACUCCUACGUCAGAUAAGAAGCCAGAGGAGAGGAUAAAGGAGGGCUGGCUUCAAAACAAGCUUCAUCAGUUGGGGAAGAAAGGAUCGACUUCGGAAGUUUAGAGAAGUUCUUGUUGUGGAAAUCUUUCUAUUGAUUUUCUAAAGAAGAAGGAGAAAGUAAGGGAAGAUUUGUAUUCUCAGUUGCUACAGAGGAAGGAGGAUAGUCACUCGAGGUUUCGGAAGAAGGGUAAGAACAGUCUGCUGUCUAAGUUUUUCCUCUGUUGAAGCUUAGUUCUUCGAUCAGAAGUUUCUCUUUCCUAUCUCUCUUUCCCGAAAAAGGAGGGCAGAGUCCGCAUGUGCGUUGACUUUCGUGACCUCAACAAAGCCGGUCCCAAGGAUGGAUGAUUUCCCUUUGCCACACAUUGAGAUCUUGGUUGACAAUAAAGCGGGAAUUUUGAGAUGGGUUCUCAGGGUACAAUCAAAUAAAGAUGGGGCCAGAAGUAGGGGAGUCCCCCAGUGGGGAAGAUUUUGCUACCCUCGGUCUCAGGCAAGAACUCAUUUGAUUAGGGUAGUGCUAUGACUUGAAUCUUGAAGGAUAUGAUGCAUGUAUUCUCAUAAAUCUUGAGGUCUACACGAUAUACUUUGAAAAUCCAAGACAGGAGAAGGACAUCCGGAAGCUCUACAAAGGGUUCUUUCAAGAUCAAGAAAAUCUCAGUUGAAGAUUAACCCCCUAGGUAAUAGUAUCGUGCGCCUUCGAAGUCAGAUCAGGGAAAUUUCUUGCUUAUUUAUUUGGUGAAUCGACAAGGCACGAAUGUAGACCCAGCUAAAAGAAAAGCAGUGGGAGAUCUCGAGUGAAAAACCUCAGCGAAAGAGUUUCAGUCAUUUUUCGAAAAAGCUUCCUACUUUAGAAGGUUCUUAGCAGGAUUAGCAGCCUUAUCGGCCCCUCGGAAUGAAUUUUGAAAGAAAAAGGUAGACCACAAGCCUUUGCGAAAAUCAAGGAGACCUUAGCGAACGCCCCAGUGAUGAUGGCUCCAAUAGCAGGUAAGGAAGGUUAGCUAUAUCUUGCUUUUCAUGAUAAUGCUAUCUUUAUAGUGCUAGCGCAGGAUGAUCAAAAUGGUCAAUCAAAGGCAAUAUAUGUAGGUAGUAGAAUUCUCAAAGAAGCUGAAGCCUUAUACACUAAAGCGGAGAAAAAGAGUUUAGCGCUUAUAUAUUGCAGCCAAAAAGUUAAGACAUUCUAUUCUGGCGCAUAAAGUAGGUUGGGCUAAUCCGCCCACGUAGCGGUACUUGCUGUCAAGGCCAGCCCGCCCUAUCGGGAAGGACAGCGCGCUGGUUGUGACAGCUCUCAGAAUUUGUUUGAGAUAUAGUCCUUUUUUUGCGAUCAAGGAUGCGAUAAAGGGGCAAAUGCAGAUCUACUGGCCCAUCAAAAGACCGAGCUUUCUUCAGAAAUUCCUGGUGAUCUCGAAUGCAAGAUUAGAAGAUGGGCAAUGGACCUUAUACUUUGAUGAAUCAUCCACAGUGGUGUAGGAUUUUGAAAUCAUCAAAAAGUCCACGCAAUAUUCUUUGCUCCUUUGAAUUUGCCUUUCCAUGCUCUAAUAAGAGUGAAUAAUAUGAGGCCGAUAGGGUUGUCUAUCGCUAAAGAAAUUCAGAUCAAGAAGUGAAAAGUGGUUGCUGACUCAAAUUUGGCGGUUCGACAGAGAGAUGGGACAUUCGCACUGAAGGAGAUUUCCCUAGCACCUUCUCAGUUCCUUGUGCUGAAGCUCUCUUAUUCAAUUGAUGUGGAAUUAACCCAUGUCAACAGGUCUACCAAUCGAGAUGGUCUUUGGCCACUGAGGCUUCAAAGAUCAAGUUCGAAGAAAAAUCUCAUUCAUUAAGAGAAGCAAGCGACGAACUCCAGCUCAUGGAACUUUAUUGAACGAUAAGCUAUAUUCAGAUCUCAUGAAAAUGAAAGAAGGAGAUUAAAGACAUGCUGUGAUUCAAGAAGAACUAAAGCAAUCAGUGUCGUCAGUGCACAUGGCCAGGAUUUCAUCACAAAGUGGCAAUUUUGGGACUACUCACUCGGGGUCUUAGCUCGGUGCCUUGGCCUUGAAGAAGGAGCAAAGAGACUUUCAGAAGUGAAUGAUAGAUAAGGUCUGAGAAAGAAAGGGUAAACCUCUACAGAAGAUUGCAAAGACAAGGUUACUAUUGGCUAAAGCAAAAGCCAUAACCCUAGAUGCAAAAGAAAGAGAAGAGGAUAAAGGCCAUAAUAUACUCAUUCAUUGAUCUAUAGAAGCUCGUAUUCUCCAACUCCGUUGCCUUCGCACCUCUCGAGCAGAAUGUCCAUUUAUCGAUGUAGUGGAUUGGAGACAGCCAUAUAUCUUUUAUCUGACAAAAGGAAGCGAACCUUACCGGAUGAUAGAUAGGAAGCGAAUAAGCUAAAGAAGAUAGCCAACCUAAAGGUAUAUAGUGAGGUAAGCUAUGAAAAAGAGGCUUAUCGGGAAUUCAUCCCACUCCGCGGGAAGAACUUAUCCACGAUCUUACAAUAGACCUCUCUUUCUCCGGACCUGAAACCAUAAUCAAACUAUGUUCAUUGAUUUCACCUUCGGACCUGUCCUCCGGACAGACGGGUUAAUAUGGAUAGGACUGAGGACCUGUGAAAAGUCAAGAAAAGAAGCUCAUUAACGAUAAUGAAAGCAUAAUUCACUCAUUAACGAGAAUUCUUCUUUCAUAACCUGGAGGGAAAUAAAGAAUAGACCUCUCAGUAUCCGGAACACAAACUAGAAGUUCUCAAUGUUCAUUUCUUUGACCUAGAUUUUGCUAAUGGACCAGUUGCAAUUUCCCGGCUUUUUUGCUUCUAAAUAGGACUUUUUUGAAGAUUGAUAUUUAACGAAAAUAGAGUGAAAAAGAAGGAUUUUUCAUGAUUUCUUGCUACUAUUUCUUUUCAGCUCUCCUUAUCAGUCGAGCCCAAAACCUAGCAUUUUCUUGUAUUUCCCUCCGUCUUCAAUCUAGCAGAUUAAUCUGAAAUCUCCCUCUUUCUUUUUCAUUCCCAUUUUUUUCUUCUUUCAUUCUCGUUAAUGAAGAAUCCACAAAUGUCUAUUCUUUAUUGACUGAUUUUUCAUGAUUUCUUGCUGCCAGCCAAAAGUUAGUCAAUGUGGGAUUUCCCUCUCAAUCAUAAUUCUUCUUUCAUUCUCGUUAAUGAGUUCAAAGAAUAUUGAAAGUAACUGAUUUAGAACAGUAUUAAGUCUAAUACUCCCCCUCAAGAUGGAGAGUAUAUAUCUUUCACUCCCAUCUUGCAUAAAUGAAGAGAUAAAGUUGUGGCAUUAAGGGGCUUUGUGAGAGCAUCAGCAAGCUGAUUUGAAGACCGUAUAGUAGUUUGAUAGAUCCAUCAACAACUCUGUCUCGGACAAAAUGACAGUCAAGCUCUAUGUCUUUGGUUCUCUCAUGGAACAUGGGAUUUUGAGCUAUGUAAAUGGCAGCCUGGUUAUCACAAAAUACAGCAGCUGGUGAGCGUACUGCAAUUUUCAGUUCUCUGAGGAGACUUUGGAGCCAUAUGACUUCACAACAAAGAGUGGCUAGUGCUCGAUACUCUGCCUCAGCUGAUGACCGUGAAAGAGUUUGUUCUUUCUUUGAUUUCCAUGAUAUUAGAGAUUUACCAAGGAAAACACAGAACCCUGUAACUGAUCGUCGGGUGUCUGGACACGAUCCCCAAUCUGCAUCAACAAAAGCUUGAAAAGAUAGAUCAUCUGUUUUAGCCAUGAAAAUACCUUGGCCAGGCGAACCUUUGAUGUAUCUCAAAAGGUGAUUUGCAGCAUCCAUAUGUGUCUUGUCCGGGUGAGCCAUGAAUUGGCUGAGUUUAUGGACUGCAAACGUUAUGUCAGGUCUUGAAAUAGUCAAGUACAGCAGCUUCCCAACUAAUCUCCGAUAAGCAGUUGGGUCUUUAAGAGGUUCUUUCCCUGAACCUUUUAGUUUGACUGUGGGAUCCAUUGGUACUGUUGCUGGUUUGGCACCAAGUAAACCAGCUUCCUCUAGCAAACGUAAAGCAUAAUGCCCUUGUGAUAAGCAAGAAAAAAUGUCAGAGAACCCAAGUCUUUAAGCAGAAAUUGACGAUUAAGCACUGCUUGUAAACCUCGAAUAAGCCCAACAUUUGCUCCAGUGAUUAUAAUAUCAUCAACAUAGACAAGUAAUGCAAUGAAAGUAGUACCUUGGCCUUUUAUGAACUGAGAAUAAUCUGCCUUUUCUUGUUGGAAGCCUAAGGAAAUGAGGAACUGUGAAAACUUGGCAAACCAUUGGCGAGAGGCUUGUUUUAAUCCAUAGAUAGAUUUAUGUAGUUUGCACACCAUUCUCUCCCCCUGAAUGGUAGUAUUUGAUUUAUAGCCAAGCGGUAAGCCCAUAUAAACUUCUUCAAAGAAAUCUCCAUGAAGAAAGGCAUUGUUCACAUCAAGUUGGACUAGGUGCCAAUUCUUUGAAACUGCUAUGGUCAACAAGGUUUUGACAGUCACCAUUUUAGCUACAGGUGAGAAAGUUGAAAAAUAAUCAAGGCCUUCUUCUUGUGUAUACCCUUUCCUUUGGCAACGAGUCUUGCUUUAUGACGUUCAACAGUGCCAUCAGCUUUGUCUUUCAUUUUGUAUAUCCACUCCUACAGCAUUCUUGCCUUUUGGUAAUGGAACAAUACUCCACGUGUGAUUAAUCUCCAUGGCUUUUAGUUCAGCUUCCAUGGCUUUUCUCCAGCAAUCAUGUAUGACAGCUUCAUGAUAAAAGGCUGGUUCAUGUAAGGUGGAAACAUGUAGUAUGGAGUCUUUGAAAGGCUGAGAGAGGGCUUGGUAAGAUAUGUACUGGUUUAAUGGGUAUUUUGUGGAGCUUUGGUGAUGAGAGGUUGUGAUGUAAGGAGGCUACAAUGGUAGGCUUGGAGAUAAGAUGGUUGUUUGCUGACUCGAUUUGAUCUUCUUACUGGGGGAUUGCUGGAAAUCAGAGAGGAAUUUUCCUAAAGUGUAUUCUGUUGGAUUGACGAGGAUGGACUAUCCAUGGACUGGGCGAUGGCUUCUGGUAUGCUGUCAAGACUCACAUUUGGUGAAGAGAGAGUUGGGAUAUUUGAUGAGGGAUUAAGGCUAUCAUUGGGAGAAUCAUGGAAGGCUUUUGGUAGAGAAAAACCUGGUAUUGGAUCUUCCACGGGCUGCGGAUAAGUCUUUAAAAGGAAAGACUUCUUCAUGAAAUACAACAUCUCUUGAGACAAAAAAUUUCUGUUGAUCAAUGUUGUACAAUUUAUAUGCUUUCAUGCCUUGUGGAUAGCCUACAAACACAGCUGGUAUUGCUCUAGGUUGAAACUUGGAACGGUCAUGCGGCAGAGUGGAAGCAUAACACAGAGAACCAAAGACCUUUAAGUUCUUGUAGUCAGGUAGGUUCUUGUUAAGUAGUUGGAACGGUGAUUUCCAAUGCAACAACCUUGAUGGAGUUCUGUUGAUCAAAUAAACAGCAGUUAAUACACAUUCUCCCCAGAAAAUCAUAGGAAUACCUGACUGAAAGAAUAGUGCUCUUGCUGUAUUAAGUAUAUGCUGAUGCUUCCUUUCAACCACAGAAUUCUGUUGAGGGCAAUUUACACAAGAAAACUGAUGUAGAACUCCUUUCUCUUUAAAGAAAUCAGUGAAUUUGAAUUCUGGAGCAUUAUCAGAUCGCAUUUGCUUGAUUCUUUUACCAUGUUGAGUUUCAAUGAGUUUGAAAAACUGAGGUAUGACAAGCUUGACAUCAGAUUUCUGUUUAAGCAUGAAGACCCAUGUAAAAGGAGUAGCAUCAUCUACUAUGGUAAGAAAAUAACAGUAUCCAGCAUGAGUAGCAGUAGACAUAGGACCCCAGAUAUCAACAUGAAUGAGAUCAAAAGCAUUAGAAGACAAAUGAUUAUUUGAAGGAAAAGAGAGUUUUCUUUGUUUUGCUAAAGGACAAGUAGUACAAUGAUGAGAAGUAAGAAACUUCAAUUGUAACAGUAAGGAUUUCAAAGUCUCAAUAGAGGGAUGACCAAGUCUUUGAUGCCACAAGGAGCUGUUAUCAUUGGUGACAGCACAUAUUGAGGAAUGUACAGCAGAGGAAUUUCCCAAGUUGAACACAUAGAGUCCAUAUAAAAGUUCAGCACUGCCAAUCUUCCUCAAAGUGAACUUGUCCUGAAUUAUACAAUUGUUAGUGGAGAAACUAAGAUUAAUCGGUAGGUCUCUUGUCAAUGCACUCACUGAUAUAAGAUUGAACGAAAAUUCAGGAAUAUACAGUACAUUCUUCAGCUCUAUGAAUUCAGAUAGUCUGAUGGUACCAGCAGUUUUCACUUCAAAGACUUGUUUGUUAGGCAAUCGAAUGGUCGUGGAGCAAGGUUCCAUAGAUGUAAAGAAAGACUUGCAGCAAGAAAUAUGAGUGGAUGCUCCAGAAUCAAUUAUCCAUAAAGGAAAUGAACAAGUGGUACCUGCUAUAUGUGAGGUGGUUCUUUGAUUAGAAGCAUUCAUCUGGGACUGAAGUUGAUUGAGAAGAUUUUGACAUUGAAUCAAAGCUUCUGCAGUGCUGCUUGCAUUUACCAUCUGAUUGGGUUGUACAGUAGCUUGAGAUGUGUUUUCAUCAUUCUGGGUUGUCACUGAAUUAGCCACAUUAUUGGCUCGUUCUUGCUUCGUCUUGUAUCCAGGAGGAUACCCAUGGAGCUUGUAACAUUUAUCCACCGUAUGAAUCUUACAAUGCGUGCACACAGGUCUGUCUUUCCUCUGCCGAUUCAUAGAACCAUUCUUAGAUGGGUUCGAAGCUACGGCAAAAGCCAUUGCUGAAGUUGUGGAAGAAAAAGAUCCAAUUGAUCUUUGCUGUUCUUCUUGAGAGAGAAAAUGCUCGGCUUAUUGAAGGAAGAGAAGAGGCUCCAUAAGAAGGAGUUGUGCUCGAGCUUGAGAGAAAUUUUCAUUGAGUCCCAUGAGGAAAUCCAUAAGGUAUUCCAUUUGAAGAAAGUCUGCCAUUUCUCUUACACCAUCACAGUUGCAAGCUCCACAGGUGCAAGCUGGUCUAUAUGUAUUUAGUUCAUCAAUGAGAGUUUUGAAUUUAGUAAAAUACAUACCAAUGGAAUCUUGGUUUUGUGAUAAAGUCGCAAGAGAUCGCUUCAACUGGAAUAUUCUUGGUGCAUUUUUCUUCUGAAAUCUCUCCUUGACUUGAGGUCAACCCAAAUAGUUCUUGCUGAAUCCGAGAACAAAAUACUUGCUGAGAUGGGUUUAGAAACAGAGUUCAGUAUCCAAGAAAUAACUAUGUUGUUAUUUCUAAUCCAAGCCGGAAGAAGAUCGCCGGUUGGUCGGGUAAUGGUUCCAUCGAUGAAAGCAAUUUUGUUCUUCACUGAAAGACCAAUGGUCAUUGCUCGGCUCCAAGAAAGAUAAUUGUCUUCAGUCAAUUGCUCUGUGACUAAGACCAGAUUUGUGUUGUCGUUGUGAUGAAGAAAGUCAGGAUGAAAAUAUCCUUGGCUUUGAUCGAAGUUUGAGCAGAAGUAUCAGUUUGGCUAGAAUGAAGAUUUUCUUGGUUUUCCGGCAGGUUCUGUGAAGGGUUGAUGGUCGGAGUUGUCAUUAUGACAAUGGGUUUCAGCGGAAGACGAGGAAAAGAGAAAAAAAGAAAUUUAGGAGGAAAGAGGACGCUCUGAUACCAUAUCAAACAAGUAUUUACAGAAUGCUUGAACUCAAACUUUAUUCAUCAACAAGGAGUGAUAUUUGGUGGUUGGUAACAAGAAAAUAACAGAAAUGAACAGUAAUGAAACUAAUGAAAGAAUAUUGAAAGUAACUGAUUUAGAACAGUAUUAAGUCUAAUAAAAAGGAAUAAAGAAAGAGCUCAAAAGGAGGCUAGAAGGCUCAAAGAAUGAUCGGAGUGGAAUGAAUGAGUUUCGGUCUUUAAUGAGACCGGAGCUAGGCUUUAUCGGUAUAGGUUUGGAAGGUUUCAGAAGAGGAAGGUGAAAGACUCUCCGCAAUAUUCUUUGCACCUCGCCCUCUUCUUUAAAAUAGAGUUCAUGACUUGCGCUCCUUAACAGUCGCUUCUCAACUCAUAUUAGAUCUCGCCUCUCCCUAUGGUCGUCCGGAGGCAGGAAAAAUAGUAUUCAUCUUUGCGCCUUGCACUCCUCGCAAUAUUCUUUGCGCAUCCGGUCCAUCUUUUCUUUUAUUUACUCGCGCCUUCGGACCGUAGGACGAGUCUUAUUCCACAGGUGUCUAAUGUUUCUGACUCCUUCGGUCUACAAUAUCCCUGUCUUAUGGAGCGGUCAAUGAAAUAUGAGAAAGAAUUUGAGAGGCGCAACUUAAGGACAUAGACAUUUGUGGAUUCUUCUUAAUCAGUUCAUUAACGAGAAUGAAAGAAUCAUUCUGAUGUUCAUUGUACUCCUUCAUUGAUUUUGAGAUUGAAGACGGAGGGAAAUCCCGGAAAAUGCUAGGUUUUGCCCAUAGGGAAGUAGCAAGAAAAGACAAAAAAUCAGUCAAAAUUGAUCUAUUUUCGUUAGAUAAGAUAAGUCGAAAAAGUCACAUUUAGAAGCAAAAAAGCCGGGAAAUAGCAAUUCAAGAAUCAAGCCUAUAAAAGGGAUAAGAAAUUCAGACUUCUAGUUUGAGUUUAUGGUCCGGAUACUGACAG